GUCCCACCACCCGGUAUCGAUAAUAAAGAUUUCCGUGAUCCAACAACCGCAUGGAAGACCCCCGAGGGAAAGUGGCGAAUCACCAUCGGUUCUAAGAUCAACAAAACCGGUAUUUCGUUGGUUUACGACACAGAAGACUUCAGAACCUUUGAGCUUUUAGACGGGUUGCUCCAUGCUGUUCCGGGUACGGGUAUGUGGGAAUGUGUGGAUUUUUACCCGAUAUCAAAACAAGGCGAGAAUGGUCUUGACACCUCAGUAGAUGGGCCUGGGGUCAAACACAUAGUCAAAGCUAGCAUGGAUGAUGACCGAAAUGACUAUUAUGCCAUCGGUACCUAUGAUGCCUACAAGGGAAAAUGGACCCCAGAUAAUCCUACAUUAGAUGUGGGAAUCGGGUUGAGAUACGAUUACGGAAUCUAUUACGCCUCAAAAACAUUUUUCGACCAAAACAAACAAAGAAGAGUUUUGUGGAGUUGGAUCAAAGAGACGGACACCGAAGCCUCCGACAUUAAGAAGGGUUGGGCUUCUGUCAUGGUACGCUUUCUUAUCUUAAAAACCGUUACAAAUGUAAAUAUUUUUCGACAUUUAUUUAUCCUAUUUGUAUGUUUUUCACAGGGAGUUCCUAGAACGAUUGUCUUGGAUAAAAAAACACAAAGCAAUAUAAUCCAAUGGCCGGUCGAAGAGAUCAACAGAUUGCGUACAAAUCUAACGGUCUUUAAGGAUGUCGUGGUAGAAGCCGGCUCACUCGUGCCACUCAACUUGCCUUCAGCGUCUCAGGUACCGGCUUUAUUAUACUUUUUUUAUUGUAUUUUAUUUUUCCAAAAUAGCUUUAAAAAGAGAUGAUACUUGACAUAUAUAAAAAAAAGUCCUAAUAGUAGUUGUGGGUUAAUAAUUAAUUAUAAGGUUUCGUAUUGAACUUUACAGCUAGAUAUUGUUGCUGAGUUUGAAGUGGAUAAGAAGACAGUGGAGCGAUUAAACGAAGUCGAUGCCGCAUACAAUUGUGCCAAAAACGGUGGAGCAGCACAACGAGGUGCAUUGGGACCAUUCGGUUUUUCAGUCCUUGCACACGAAGGUCUAGCUGAACACACUCCUGUGUAUUUCUAUGUUGCCAAAGGAGUUGAUGGGAACCUUAAAACAUUCUUUUGUGCUGAUCAAUCGAGGUCAUCUAAUGCUAAUGAUGUCGAUAAGUCAAUUUAUGGGAGCAUUGUCCCAGUUCUUAAAGGUGAAAAGUUGUCUAUGAGAAUCUUGGUGGAUCAUUCGAUAGUUGAAAGUUUUGCACAAGAGGGAAGAUCAUGUAUUACUUCACGUGUUUAUCCAACAAAGGCUAUCAACAGUAAUGCUCAAUUAUUUUUGUUUAACAAUGCUACCGCAUCCAAAGUUACCGUCUCAGUCAAUGUAUGGCAAAUGGACUCAGCUCAUGUUUAAAUAUUAGAUGUGAAAUCUAAUUUUUUUAUGGUUGUUUAAAAUCAUUUUAAGAGUGGGAAAAUAGACCCCUCAAUUCUUUUAAUUUGUAUGUGAUGAUCAUUCCGACAUCUUGUUUUUGUACAUGGAAAUCAAGGAAUUCUGAGAUAAUAGUCACCUUGUAAAAUGCAUUGCGUAAAUUAAAUUCAUUCUCAAGGUUAUUCUUCCUUAUAUAUUUUUUCAAUAAUAACAUUUUAAAUUUUAUAUUAACAGACUUUGUGUUAAAUUAUUAACAUUCUUAUCAAACUAAUAGUUGUCAAUUCAUUUUAUAAAUAGUUUUGGUAUUUUUUAUUUUAUAUGUUUGGUAUAUUUUUCAAAUUUUGUUAUUGUUUAAGGACUACAAAUGUAAAACUGAGGUAAUCUCUCGCGGGUCUAUCGGUCAAUGGGUAUAUCCAUGCAUGGUCCAACUUAUUAUCUCCAUGCAUAUAUAUGUGAGUGUAGGUGUUGUUGCAGUGGUCAUCGAGUCUCAAACAUCUUCUGUAAUAUUCUCUCGUUUUAGGUUUCACAUACGAGUUAAGGUUUCAUGAGUCUGUAGUUUGUUCUUCUUCUUUGUUAAUCAAAUCUUUGUUGUGUGAUAAUCUAUUGAGUGUAGUAUACGAAUUUGUAGCUAGUGAGAUUUCCAUUGUAAGUUACUGUCAAACAAACUGACACCACAAGAAAAAUCCUGAAUUACUACGGAAAGUUGCUACCGAAUCAAAAUCCGUAGCUAUUUUACUACGAAAUAUGCUACAAAAUGGCUUGUCGUAGCUAUUUUGUGACGGAAAUGGUUACGAAAUUGCAUUCCGUAGGUAAAUCCUAAAUAGCUACGUAUAGUUGCUACGGAAUCAAAAUUCGUAGUUAUUCUACUACGAAAUAUGCUACACAAUGACUGGCCAUAGCUAAUUUGCUACGGAAAUGACUAUGAAAUUACAUUAUGUAGCUAAACAUUGAAUAGUUGUUAUGGAAUCGAAAUCCGUAGUUAUUUUACUACAAAUUAUGCUAUGGAAUUUUUGGUUGCGGCUAGUUCGCUACGAAACUUGUUAUGAAAUUAAUAUUUGUAGUUUUUUGGCUAUAGAAUUGGCUAUGGAAUUCAAAAUUGUAGUUUGUGGCUACGCAAUUGAAAUUCGUAAUAAUUUUGUUACGAAAUUUGAACCACAAUUAAAUUUUGUAGCUAAUCUACUAUAGAACUUGUUACAAAAAUAUUAAUCGUAGUUAUUUAUGUAUACGAUUGGUGUUCGGAUUUGCAAAAUAACUAUGGAAUCAAAAUCCGUAGCUAUUUAGCUAUGAAAAUAUUCCGUAGUUAAGUAGCUAUGGAACAUGUUUCCGUAGCAAAAUAUAGAAAAAAUUAUAUUCUUAUUUUAGAUUAAUAAUUUCCUUUCCUAUUUUUAUAACAAAUUAGCCCUUAGUUAAAAGAACAAAUUAGCCCAUAUUUUUGUAUCGUCGAUUGGAGGAGGUCGUUUUUAAUGAAUCACAAAAUGCAAAAGUCAAAUGGAUUAAUGAAAAGUCAACCUUAUUUAUUAAUUAUUUUGUAGGCGAGACUUUUGCUCUUUACUCAUAAUUUUGACAAGCCCUGAAGAAAACUAUUCAUCACUUGACCUAAUUCCUCAGUUUUCCCCGGUCUCCACUUACGCCAUUAUCGAUCGGACUUCACAUUAUCGGGAGCUCCUCUCACUCUUGUUUGCUGUCGUUCGUCACCUGCUCUGUCAAUUGGUAGGUUGUUCUCGAUUGAUGAUCCUCAUUGCCUUCGUGCUCACUGUGGAUCGUCGUACUCCUCUUCGCCAGUUUUUUCCUCGAUCGUCUUCGUCCCUAACAGGUAACCUUCUUCUUUGUUUUGUUUGCUUCUUAAAACCUGCGUGACUCCACUAAAUCAUCUGCUUGUGUCACCUGAAAAUAUUAGCGACUAUUUCCACCUAAUGCUCCAAUUUCUCUUUCUAUCAUCCAAUGACAUGAGGAUCUAUUGAUCUUUCCAUUGAAUCCAAGGCGAGUCAAUAAUCAGUUAACUCUACCAAUCCUUACACGCAGCUUGAUUCAAGUUUUUAUUGGUGAUUUUGAUUGAUCGAUUAUAUUGCAUUUGAUGCAAAUUGUGGAUUUUGACUUGACAAAUAAUGAAGUAUUGAUGUGACUUUAUUGCCUGAGCAUCAUAGAUCACACAUUGUUUGCAUGUAUUGUGAUUAAAUUAGAAUGGAUUUUCUAGGAUAAAACUUAUAAUCUGUCUUUGAUAGACAUUUAGUUUAAGCAAAUUGAGAAUUUCACCAGAUAAACAGUGUUGUAUUGUUGUGACUUCGUUGUUGGAAUUUCAUGAAUCACAAAGAUUCAAUAGCUAAAGAUGAACUUUUUAGGAGAAUCAUAAGAUGUUGCUACUUGCCUACUUGUGCUUUAUGUCAUGUCAUCUCUUUUAAUUCACAAAACUAAGCUGUUCAGAUUGUUGGUUAUAAUCAUAAAUGUUCAUGUAUGCGUACCUUUUGUUAUAAUUUUGGUCCAUAUAGUUUUUUGUUAAAUAAUAACCAACUUGACCAACCAAUAAGUUUAAUUGUAUAUGAUUCUAUUUUAUGCUUAUAUCAAUUAGUAAACAUGUCAAUGAGAAAAAAAAAACACUUAAUAGUUCUCACACUUUUCCCCAAUACGUAAUAAAGUAGUGUAAUCCCAUGAUGAAUGAAUUAUAUGACCAACAAUUGAAUAUUAAUCUAAUUCACUUUGAAUAGAUAGAACAACUACCCGUUGCAUUUUUGAAAUCUUUCCACCAUUAAUCCUUACCCCUUAAUAUUACAUAUUUCAGAAACUCAUGGACCACAAUUAAUCUCACUGAUAUUUGCAAUGAUUGCAUGCUUCUAGUUGUUAAUAUGUUAUUACUAGUUAAUAUUUGUUAGAAUUUAGAUUGAAGUUUUUUGAGAAUUAGUAUAUGUAGGUUAAUCAUUAAUGCGUUACUGUUUGUGAGUUUGUUGAAAAUCAAUGGUGUUUCUUAAAGGGUUCAUCAGGUCUAACUUUUUUUACUGUGCAAAAUGGGCAGAAAAAGUUGAAAUUUGGUUAAUGAACAUCUUGUUCCAUGGAGUUUUUAUCUUUGCUUAAAUUGUCAUCUUCAUCCAAUGCAUUUGUUUGAACACUGUUGUAUUUUAAUUUAAUUUCCCAAUAUAUAUUUAGAUAACGAAUGGAAUCUUUUGUUAACAAUUCCCAAUAUAUCAUUAAACUUAAAUUGAUGUUUGUGGAAGUAUUCACUUGUAACUCAAGCCAUUUUUAUUACGACUAAUUUUUCUCCUAGUGUUGAAGUGUGUUAUUGUAUGCUUGAACAUGAUUGUUUGAUUUUGCAAAUAAAUAAUUAGAAAGAUAUACGCAUUUUAAGUUUUCUUUUUGUUACAUCAUUGUAAGUUUUUAAAAAAAAAAAUUAUUAUUAAGGCAUGCUAUGUUGACAAAUCUACCAAUUAUAGUCUUGUACUUUCAGUUUUUUAAUUAUAAGCAAAUUUUCCUUUGAAAAAUUAACUCAAUUAUUGCAUUGCAUUUUGUUUGUUGAAUUUCUAUGUACUUUGUUGUAGGGUUAGAAAUAAAGGGAUAUUAAUGUCACUUAUAUUAUGUUUACUUGUCUACAAUAAUAGACACAUUUUCUCGUCUGCAGACCAAAUUUACUUUUUUAGAAUUUAUUUUUCUCUUUUAAUCUAUUACUGUAAUCAAGAAUUUCAAGUUUUCAACAGUUCUGCUAAUAACAAUCUAUUUGUGACAUUGGAGCUUUUUAGGUUGUGUAAUUUGUUGAAACAAAAGCAAAAGAUAUGUUUAAGGGGUUAUUGAAGCAAAAGCAAAAGAUUUCAGCCCCUGUCAACCAAUGAUUGGUGGUAAAUUGCUGCUUAUGUGGUACUAGUUAUAUGGCAAGUUUUUUUUUUUUUUGGAUUUAUAUGGCAAUUUUUUUACUUAAUCUGGAAAACUAUAUAAAUAAUUAUUAUUUCAGUUAUUCUAUACUUAAUGAUAUAACAGGUUAAGCUACUUACUAUUUAUAGGCUCAUAGUUGGAAUUGAUGGGUUUUGGUCAUAAGACAUCUUAUGUGCUCAUACAAACCCUAAAGCUCGGAUCUAGGUUUCUUUAUUGUACAUGCUUUGAAUCCAAGACUAUAAACCCUAAUUUUAGCAUAUGGAAAUCAAUAUUAACAUAUUAAUAGGUUUAAGAACAUACCUUGAUUGUUAUAUAGCAAUAACAAUCCAAUUCCUCCUUGAAUUGACCUUGGAAAGCAGAGAGUCACAAGUGUCACUCCUCUAAUGGCUUACAAACACCAUAAGCAAGUGGAGAAUGUAUAAAGAGAGAGAGGAGGGAGGUUAGAAUUCGUCCUUAGGACCCCUUGGGAAGGGUUACACGAAUUCAUAACCCUAGGGGUGUUUAUAUAGGUGUAGAGAUAGGGUUUCAGUCAUUAUCCUUAUCUAGUUGAUUAUCCAUUAAGCAACCAAUAAGAUAAUCCUUGAAUCCUUAUCAUACUCAAAUUCUAAGGCUUUCCAACCUUAAAUUCGUUCACCACACUUAUAAGAUAAUCCUUACCUUAUUUUGUAACUAUCACAUAAUUACAAUUCAGCCCCUCUAGUUUAAUUAAUUACACUUGAUCACAAAAUUAAUUCUUAAUUAAUUAUUGACCAAUAUUAAUUAAACAAAUAUGAUUUCUCCUUUAAUAUAUUAUUCUUAUAACAUAUUAAUAAAUCAUAAUAACCUCUCUCUCUUUAUUUAUUUCUCCAAUCAAGUUGCUUUGGUGAAGGCAACCCAAAAGGACCAUGCACCAUCGGGUCAAGUACAUACCAAAAUAGUUAUGGACUUAGACACUAAUCCAACAGUCUCCCACUUGGAUAAGUCUAACAACUAUUCUGCGUAUGACUUCGGAUCCCGAUCUGCAAUCGUAGCUUUCCAAAGCCGCUGUCAACUCUGAUCAUAUCAGAUACGCGUGUCCUUAGAUAAGGGAUCAUAUAUUCCUCCAUUCUAGAUAUCAUAUGAGAUAUGAUUUCAAAUCAUUCUCUUUGUACUAUAUCUCGAUUUCCGAUUUAUGACGACUGACUAAUUGAACAAAUCAAAUUAGCCCUAGCCCGGCCGAGCAUUUACGUUUGUCAUCACUAAACCAUCGAGGGGCCCAAAGAUAUCGCUUUUAUCCUACUUUGGAUAAAAGGAACGGAUAAACUUUGAUACAAUGCUUGCUUGCACUCACUCACCGAAUCACACACAACAAUAUGUUUUAUAACACCAAGUUACUAGUGCGUUUACAUAUUAUCAAUGUGCAACCGAUUUGCAAGAUACAACUCACACAUCUCGGUUUCAAGAAUAUAAGAUGUUAUCGUCUCACCAAUCACUCGUGAUACAAUUCAUGGAGUGAUCCAAGUGAGCGUGGGUUUAAUCCAAUGCUCAAAUCACAUUCAUAAGCACUCAUGAACGUUGCAGCAAACAUUUGCUUAUGUCUAAUACUCUUUUAGACAAUCCACACACCAAUUCACGACAGUCUUCAUUCAUAUCUACUUCCAACAUAUGAACGACUGUGGCCCGUUUGAAUAAUUCGAUUAUUCUUAAUAAACUCAAUUAUUCUGGAAGUCAAAACAUGCAAAUGUGAAACACAAGAAUAAUACUAAUCCCAUAUGGCCUCAAACCUUUGAGUAUAAAUAAAACACCUUUUAUUUAUCACCAUAUUGAUUACUCAUUAUUUGUCGUUUCGGGUAAUCAACUUCUUACUUGAAUUCCAACACUUGUCCCAUGCUCCUAGCAUGCACACAAUGUUUACCUAUGGUUCUUACUUUGUGAAAUAGAUCACAUUGAACACAUUUCCAAUCCUUCUCAUUUCACAACUCCAAAUCCGUUUUUCAUAAGUCAAAGAAUAUCAAAUUCUUGCUACUUAUAGAAUAUGCUAGAUUCUAACAUUCUAUGCAACUAUCCUUUCGUAAUGUCACUGCACCAAAGUCACAAAGACUAUUGCCAAUGAUAUUACAAAGUCCUCUAUCGGAGAUUGUUACAAGACAAUUCCAUAGACGUGAUGUCUCUCACUCAAAGUACAUUCUUUGAACAUCCUUUUGCAUAGAAGUUUCUAAUCUAGUCAUAGAUUUCUCAAUAUUCAAUUCCCAAUAUGGACACACUUCCAUAUGUUCCAUAUGACAACUCAUUCUUAAUAGAAUCUUAUCUAUUCGUAAUGAUGUCGAUAUGGUCCAUCCAAUAUGGAAACAUUUCCAUAUUUUCCAAUACUAUACUUCCAACUACUCACAAGCGACCAAUCCUCGUCGAACUUUGGAUUGUCCUUUGAUAGUUGUUUAAUUAUUUUAGUCAAAACCAAUUCUAGUCCCUUUUCCCUCUAAAUGCGCUCGACAUUUGGAAAAUUUUAGAAUGGUCAAACAUUAAAGCAUUUGCAAUCGAUCCUAUACCCGAAGCGUAUGGGACACGACGCAUAAUGUUUUAUUUGCUAUGUUCUCAAAAUUCGAAUUGUGAAGAGGGAUGCCGUAAUCAUAAUCGAAAUUUUAAGAACACACUAUGUACCUUUGACUAAAUUUAUUAACAUUUCUCAACCUAAUCCUUUAGAUUUGAAAUGAAGCAUAAUAUUCUCUCCCUUAAUUAUAGCAAAACAACCUUUCAACUCUUACAACUUUGCAAAGUAUGACUCUUGUUUUCUAUAAUUAAUAUUGCUAACCUUGCAAUACUUUCCUUAAUAAUCAUACAAUCAUAACAUUUAUGCUCCCACUAUCAUGAUGAUUAUUAUAAAACAUAACACUUAUGCUCCCACUAGCUUCGACAUGUAUUCAUAAACAUCUUAACUUUCAGAAAACAAUACUUAUUGAAUUUCUUAAGUUCAUGUUUCUAAUACUUAGUGCUUUGAUAAUCCUUUAUCAAUGCUUCUUGAACUUAUACACCUUUGCCUUCGAUAGUUCAUAUGUGUGUCUAAACAAUUAAGACUAAUUGCCAAACCUCACAAUUCAAAUUAUGGAAAGGGAUACCGUAACCAUAAUCGAAUUCGAGAAUGCAAUUUUACAAUCACUAUCUUCUUAAAAUCUUUCUUAGUGAAAGCAUUUCCUCACAAUCAUUUUCAUGAAGGAGGAAAUCUUAUGACACUUAGAUUUAAACGGUGUAUGUGUUCCUAUCCAUGUGAAUUUGUUAAAACCAAAGUUUACGACAAAUUCAAACUCAUAUGGACCGAACUUUCUUAAUCUUGAUUUCUUGCCUUAUGGUAGCACAGCUGCCCACCAUGUCUUCCAAGUAGUUAAGCAGCUCACCCUUUCCUAUCAAUGUACCUUUCAUUGAUUAAGGUGCUUUGCCUUUUAUGCGUUCAAAAUGAGAACUCAUAGAACUCACAUGCAUAAUUAACUCGAUUGGAUUGGCACAGAAACAAAAUAAUGUCAACACGAUAGGUUGUAAACCUCAACUCGUGUGCUAGUGAUGAUCGAUAAGGUUUAUUUGAUUUGUUCUUGAAACCUUUCAAGACCAUUAAGACUCCCACUGACUCCUUGACAUAUAAGAUUCUCUUGUCAAUAAACAUUUCUUGACAAACAAAUAUUCAAGAGUUAGUGUAGUUUUUAUCAAAACACUUCAUAAAUUGGUCCUAGUUGGUCUUUGUCUUAUCCAAGACAUCACAACUUUCCACAUUUGAUGAAUGUUAUAAACCUUCUUAAUACUUAUCACUCAAUGUCACAAUCUUAACUCUAAGACUUGUUUUGGAACGAAGUAUGAUUGACUUCUUGAUUUAACCAUUUCUUCAAUUCUUGAUUCCUCUUCUUAGACAUACAAUUGUACUAAGACUCACUUAGAGGAUCAAUUGAGAUAUGGUUCUUAAUCAUUAAGACCUAUCAUAAAGCAUAAAAGGUACUCUCCCUUCUUCUUAGAAUGGAGAAACUUUUAUCUUUCUGCCUACUUGAUUCUUCUUAUUCGUUCUGCUAUUGAUUUAAACUUUUUCAAUCAAUUCAGAAUUACACUUAAUCUUAUAAGUAUAAUCAUAUUUACUAAACCUUUAGUAAAUCAUGACGAAUAUCUUUGUUACUCUUAUGGUGGACUUGAUCAACACGCAACUUUGUGUACUCGAUCUCCUAGUCCUUCACUUGACACUUUGUCAAUGAAUUAGUCUAAUUUCCAAAUAUGAAAUUUCUCAUUCAUCGUGCAACCAAGUUGCAUGAUUCCAAGUUUCUGUCCAAUUGAAACUUGGGCGAUGAGAAACUCUCCCUAUUUGGUAAACUCUCGACUUUCCAUAAAUAACAUAAUAAGAACCAAAUCCAUUAUUGCUAAUAAUAGAAACAUUCAAACAUCAAUUUUUCAUAUACGCCAUUGCAAGGAUAAAUAAAUAAUAUAAAAUCAAAAUUUAUUUUAUUGCGGAAAAAAUUUGUCCUUACAAUGCAAUUCAUUGAAAAACUAUGCUAAUACAUCUUUCUUAGCAAUCUAAUUCUAACUCUAAGUAGUAGCUCAAGAAUCUAAUCUUCGAGAAAUGCGAUCGAAAUCCAUUCCUUCACGGUUAGAUUCUGCUCACUUCUUCCCUUAAGCUUCCUUUCUUUUCUUCGAUCCUACAAAACAUCAAUUGUAAUCUUAUCACAUUAUGUAUUAAGAAUCUAGAAUAGAAGCUUAAAAGAGUUAGUUAAUGGAUUUUACCUAUAUUAGAGCCAUACGUUUCGACUCUCCCAUCUCUUAGAUCUCUUAGGUAAAUGGGGCAGCUUCGUCUCCAAUGCCCUUUCUCUUGGCAAUAAAAGCAAAUUGACUCUUUUGGAACAUGACAUGGAACUACUUCAGACAUUGCCUUUCUCUUAUGAUCAAACUUUUCGAUCAUAGCAUGUCUUUCGUUGCCAUUGUCUAUAUCCAUAGAGGUCUUGAAGGCAGAUUCACCAAUCAACUUUGCUUUUCUAUUGCGCCAAACCAUUGCUGAUUCAGCAGCAAUAAGCAUAUAGGUGAGAUCUAUAAGGGUCACGUCGCGGUUCAUCAUAUAGUACUCUCUUACGAACUCACUAUAUGAGUUAGGAAGUGACUGAAGAACCCAAUCAACAGCCAUUUCCUCACAGACAACGGAUCCCAACAUUCUUAACCUAUCAAUGUGUGACUUCAUCCCUAGGACGUGUGCACACACCGACUUUCCUUCUUUAUGUUUACUUGCCAAAAGGGCUUGAGUGAUCUUGAACUUUUCAAGCCUUUGAACUUGUGGGUUAGGGAGAAUAAUUGGAGGAGGAGGAGGAAGUGAAGCAUGAUUUCUUGUUCCUCGAUCGAAUCGUGGAAUAUCAUCUUCAUGUGGAAUGCUUGUUCCACGGGAUUUGGGAAGACCAUAGUUGUCGAACUUUGACAUCUACAAAACGGGAGAAAACGAAUUCAAGUUAGUUGAUUGAUUGAGUCCUUAGUAAAUCACCCAAAUGAGAUACUAAGGCUAGGACCCAACACAAUAUUCUACAACUCGGGAGAGGGAUGCCGUAACCCUAAUUGCAGAAUAUUUGAAGGUAAGUGAAUGACGAUUCACUAAUUUCCACCAUGAAAAACGAAAAAGAAAUUUAAGUUUUAAAUCUAUGAAAACUCCUAGAUCCUUUGAGAUUCAUUGAACUUUCAAUGGCAUGUUUAAAUCUCGAUAUGCCCCUCUUGUUUGUGACUGGGAUGCCGAGGAUCACAAAGCGGGUGUGAAUAACCAUGCAAACUUACAUGGUGCCCUCACAUGUUACAGUCACCUAUUCGAUGUGCCGGUAAACCACACACGCUCCACCGAACUAUGACAAACAUUGAGUCACCCUUUGCUACCUUUGCUUAGACCCAUUUAGUGUGCCGGUUAACCACACACGCUCCACUAACGUCUUCGCAAGGGCACAAAGUGUAAUUUCAUGGAAUUGCAUCAAUUCACUUUUGCCUAAGUAACUAAGAUUGGGAAUUUUAUGAAAACAUUUAGUUACUUUAAUAAUUCAUUAUACUUAUAAUGGAAGGUUUCGUCCUAUCCUACCCGUUCGGCUAACGACCCUCCACUAGUCAAGAGUGCGGUGGGUAAGAGUGGAUACCCAUUCAAUCGCCAUUUUAUAGGCAAUUUCCUUAAACACCCCUUAUAGACCAGCUUCGUGAAUGAGGCCUACUAACGGUAAGACUGACUUUUACUCAUACAUAUAUAUAAUGUUAGACUUUUAAUGUUAUAUAUAGUAUAGGGUGUAUUUUACACUUUUAAAAUAUUAGGUGGUUCAAUUUAACAAUUAUACUUUUAAUUCACUUAAAUUGUAAACCUAAACUUUUAUGGAUUUAUUAAACCUCUUUUAAUUAUACACCUUAAUUAAUUAAUAAAACCAUAAGGGUGUGAUUUGAACUUUUUCAAAACUAUACUAGAGUUUUAGAAUUUAACAUUCCUAAUUAAACUUUUAAUCAACUUUUAAAUUCCAAAACUUGAGGGCAAGUUUUGAAACAUUUCAACACAUUAGGGUUUAGAAUUUAAAUAUGCAUCAAAAUUAAACUAUUUAAUCAAAAUUUAAAUUCCAAAACUUGAGGGCAAGUUUUGAAACCUUUUUCAAAACAUUAGGGUUUCAACUAUUUAAAUUUCAAAACAACAAAACUUUUGGGGUUCAAAUUUAAACUAUAAAACCUAAAGGGCCAAAUAUGAAACUUUUCACAACAACAAGGAUCAAAUAACAAAUAAUUCAAAUUAACAUUUAAUCACAUAAUUAUCCAUAUUUGAUGAUUUCUUGCAAAAUAAUUUAUCAAUUUACUUAAAAUAAUUAAUCAAUUAUCUUAUAAGGAAACAAUUAUCUUAUUAAUUGAUAAAUAUCUUCAAUUAGAUUAAAAAUAUAGUCAAAUAUAUCAUAUAAUCGGAUUAAUAUUAAUCUAACAUGAUAAGGUAAUUAUCCCAAUGCAAAAACAGCAAGAAAUCCCGAGAUAAGCACUGUCUGACGCACCGACUCGCCGAGUCACCCUCUGGAACUCGCCGAGUAGGGCUGACUCGCCGAGUCCAAGAGUGACUCGCCGAGUCAGGUCGAACAGUGAGGCCAAAACACGAUUUUCAGUUACAUCAAGCAUCAAUACAAUAGAAACCAAUCAAGGCUCUGAUACCACUGAUGGGUUUUGGUCAUAAGACAUCCUAUGUGCUCAUACAAACCCUAAUGCUUGGAUCUAGGUUUCUCUAUUGUACAUACUUUGAAUCCAAGACUAUAAACCCUAAUUCUAGCAUAUGGAAAUCAGAAUUCACAUGUAAUUAGGUUUAAGAACAUACCUUGAUUGUUAUAUAGCAAUAACAAUCCAAUUCCUCCUUGAAUUGACCUUGGAAAGCUGAGAGUCACAAGUGUCACUCCUCUAAUGGCUUACAAACACCAUAAGCAAGUGGAGAAGGUAUAAAGAGAGAGGAGGGAGGUUAGAAUUCGUCCUUAGGACCUCUUGGGAAGGGUUAGACGAAUUCCUAAGCCCUAGGGGGUUUAUAUAGGUGUAAAGAUUAAGGUUUUAGUCCUUAUCCUUAUCUAGUUGCUUGUCCACCAAGCAACCAUAAGAUAAGUCCUAGAAACCCUUAUCCUAGUCGAAUUCUAAGGGAUUUACACCUCAAAUUCGUUCACCAUAUUUAUAAGAUAAUCCUUACCUUAUUUUGUAACUAUCACAUAAUUACAAUUCAGCCCCUCUAGUUUAAUUAAUUACACUUGAUCACAAAAUUAAUUCUUAAUUAAUUAUUGACCAAUAUUAAUUAAACAAAUAUGAUUUCUCCUUUAAUAUAUUAUUCUUAUAACAUAUUAAUAAAUCAUAAUAACCUCUCUCUCUUUAUUUAUUUCUCCAAUCAAGUUGCUUUGGUGAAGGCAACCCAAAAGGAUCAUGCACCAUCGGGUCAAGUACAUACCAAAAUAGUUAUGGACUUAGACACUAAUCCAACAGGAAUGCAGUUCCCUUACAGCUUCUUUGGCAUGCAUAAUUGGUCUUCAGUAUGGUCAUAUUUUAAUCAAAUUACUAGUGUGAAUUUCAUUUAUAUUUUAGAGUAUUUUCCCUGGUCAAAUCUUAGUUGACCGAGUUUGUUGCAGGGGCAUAAAGAUCGACUUUGCUUUUAGAGUUUUAGUUUUCGAUUUCCAAAUAACAAUUUAGAAUAUUAUUAAGUUUUUUGGUUUUUUUUCAAUGUCAGGUAUUCCUUUGAACAAGGGCUUGUACAUGAUGUUGUAUCAGGAUGAAAUAAAAGUAGGAUGCUAUAACAAAGAAAUAAAUGAAAUUAGGUUGUUAUUUCUUAGCCUAUAUUAUCUUAUAUCUUACUUUAAUUUUAUUGGUUUUGACAGGAUUCGAGGGCACAUGUAAGAGCCCUAUAUCUGUUUAUAGGGACAAUUUAGAGAAUGCACACCUUUGGGAUUGAAAACAUGGAUACCUAACAUUAUGGAGCAAUAUCAACAAAAACAUCAUUAUGCAGGUUCAUUUUUAUACCUUUAAUAAUAGAAAAUCAAGUGUUUUCAACUUUAUUUCAAAUCAUUUUGACAUCAUGUGACAACUUCAUAUCCUUUUGGCAUCACGCGACGGCUUGGAAAGAGAAAAAAUAAUCAUGCUAAUGUUGGAUUUGAUGGUUCUCAAAAGGGGAUUUAUUUUGUUUCUCGUGUACANGACGGCUUGGAAAGAGAAAAAACAAUCAUGCUAAUGUUGGAUUUGAUGGUUCUCAAAAGGGGAUUUAUUUUGUUUCUCGUGUACAUGUUAAUAGUAUGCCAAAUAAAAGAGUUGGAUUGUUGUUUUUACUUUGUCUUCAUUUUCAUAUUUUAAUCAAGUUGAUUGUAAAUUUGAUUUUGCAGGUUUUUCCAUUUUGGUUGAGUAUAUGUGGUUGUUGGUGUGUAUAUGGCGGUUCAAAUCUAAAUUGUGUGUAGGUGACGGUUCAAAUCUAAACUGUUUGAUUAUACUUGUAAUUAAUAUUUAGUUUUAAUGAUUAGACAACCUCAUAGAAGACUUUUCGAUGAUAUCAUAUGUCUAUAAAAUUGAUGUAACUAUUAAAUUUAUAUUUACUACAUUUUUAUAUAUUUUUAUGAAUAUUAUAAUUGGAAAAUUGGAUUUUGUUGAACAUUUUUAUCAUACUGAAUUUGCUUUGGAACCUGUUGCUACAUGACAAAUCGUUGUUGAACAAAAACCUACAAAAUUCGCUACGGAACAGACGGCUACAGAAUUUGCUACGGAACAGACGGCUACGGAAUUUGCUACCAAACAGAUAGCUACGGAAUUUGCUACGGAUAGACAACUACGGAAUUUGUUACGGAACAGAUGGCUACGGAAUUUGCUAUGAAACAGAUGGCUACGAAAUUUGCUACGCAACAGAUGGUUACGGAAUUUGUUAUGGAACUCAAAUUGCAACAGAAUAGAUGUCGUAGAAACUGUCAUAACAAAAUUGCUAUGGAAUUAUAAUUUCGUAGCUAAACAUUUUGCUACAAGAAAUAUAGCUACAUAGUCUAAUUGAUAAAUUGGGUAGCAAAUUCCGUAGUUAUUCAGCUUUAGCUACGGAAUUUCAGAUUUUUGCUAUGGAAUUUUUCCAUAGCUAAAUUGGAAUUUUCUUGUAGUGUGAUCUAUGAAUGAAAUAGAUUGUUUAUGUUGAGAAAUCUAGAUUGUUAUCUACUUGUGUUUAGUUUUAGCAUUGUUGUGAUAGUAAUCUCAUUGUUGUGUGAUAAUCUAUUGAGAGAACUAUAAACUUUUUCUGUUACUCUUGAUAUCUACGUGUGUUUAGUUUUAACGUUGGUUAAUCCGGUUAUGAGCACCAAUUAUAUUAUUUUGUGAACUUUGAUUGUUAUUCUGUUUCUUCUUGAUGUUUUCUUAUCUUAUCUGAUAUGGUUGUUGGGAAAACUCCUGGUGGUUCAGGAACUAUGUCUAAUGAAUCACUAAAUGUUGAUGAUCCUCUCUAUAUUCAUCCUACUAAUACUAUAACUAGAACUAGAAUUGGUUUCACAUUACUUGGAACUAAGAAUUUUAUAAAAUCUGAAAAAGUUCCAUGACUAGAGCAUUAAAAGAUAAAAACAAAUUAGGGUUUGUAGAUGGUACAACAGUUAAAAUUGAAGAUGAUCCUAUUAAAUCUCUUAAGUAAGAAAGGGAAAACGAUGUCGUGUGUUCAUGGGUUCUUGGAUCUAUAUCUGAAUCCAUAUAUGCAUGAAAUAUUUACUCUAAAAAGGCUAUUGAUAUAUCGAAUGAAUUAAAUAAAACUUACUAUAAGUCUGACGGCUCUAUUGUCUUCAACACAUAAAUGCAGUAGCUCAAAAUUGUCUUUCUGUUUUUGAUUACUACAAUAAACUUGAUUCACUUUGGAAGGAAUUUGAUGGUCUAACUAAUCUCACUAAAUGUGUCUGUCCUGCUUCAACUCAGUUGAACAAUCACUUUAAACUUAUGAAACUUGUGUAGUUUUUAAGUGGUCUUGAUAGCUAUUAUAAUUAAGUUAAAAGUCAAAUCUUGUUAACUGACCCUUUACCAAAUGUUAGAAAUGCUUUUGCUAUAGUCUCGGAGGAGGAAUCUUUAAAAAAAUGGUUAUGUGUCCAAUACAUCCAAAAAAUCUCAAACCAUUGCUUUUAAUAUAAUUUCAAUGAUAACAGAAGGAACAAAGGUCCUAAUCAAAAUCCUCAAUGUAAGAAUUGUGGAAUUAAAUGCCAUACUAUUGAAAAAUGCUUUAAAUUAGUUGGUUACCUAAAGGAUUUUAAACCAAGAAAUGUUUUUAACAACGGUCUCAACAACUCGUCUAGCAAUAAUUUUUCCAAUAAUAAUUCUGAGAGGUCUUGGUCUAGAAAUAAUGUUACCUCUAAUCUUAUUGAUGGAUCCACUUCUAGUUUUAGCCCUGCUGAUCUAAGGUCUCUCACUCGUGAACAAGUCUCCAAACUUUUUCAACUCAUUAAUGACAAAUAUGUUGGAUUAGGUGUCUAAGCCAAUAACUGAAUUAGUGUGUGUGUGUAUAUAUAUAUAUAUAUAUAUAUAUACACACACACACACUUGAAUUAUUAGUAAAGUCCUUUUGGUUUGCCCUCAAACUUAGUAAUUGAAAUGGAUGACUUUUAGAGAGAGAGAGAGAGAAAGAGAGAGAUAGAGAGAGGGAAUGAUUUAUUGAUUUAUUAUAUAAUUAAUAGAUAACAAUAAGUGAAUUUAUUAAUAUGUUAUAAAAUUUAUAUAUUAAUUAGAAAUUUUAUUAUUUAAUUAAUAAUUAAUCAGAAAUUCAUUGGAAUUAAUUUUGGGAUUAAUUGGAUUAAUUAAAAGUUCAAGGGUUAAAGUGAAAUUAUUUAAUAGUUGAAUAAGAGAGGUUCUAGAAACUUCCUUGGAAGGGGUUGACGAUUUCAGGGUAUUCCAACGCAUCUGGAAUAUUCCUUGUAGAUAAAUAGGAAGUUGGAUAAUUACCAAUUUUAAUUAAUAUUAUUUUAUUCAAAUUAGGGUUUCAAAGUUACACUAUAAAAGGAACCCUUGGCCUUGGAUUUUGGCCACCCCUCCUUUCUUAGAGUUAGCUGAAAAUUUCAUCUCCCCUCUCCUCUCUCUUUAAGUCUCCUUGUUGCUAUGGUUGGGUGUGAACCAUCAGAGGCACGAAGAUUUUGGUGCUAGUUUCCAAGCAACUACAAGAAGGAUUGUUUGAUUGUUUACUAUAACAAUCAAGAGGUAUGUUUUCUUCUAUGAUUUUUGUAAUUACCUAGGGAUAUAGGGUUCUUAUUGUUCAAUAGAAUGUUACUUAAAUAGAUUUGUGACUAGAUGUAACAGUUUGCAUGUACCCUCAAGUGUAUAAGGAUUUAUCCGCGUUAUUGCAUGCAAAACCCAAUAGUGGAAUCAAAGCAUAUGGUUGUAUAAAAAUUGAAUAUAUAUUGGUUGAACUAGAGCAAAAUCCAAUUGGAGGAAAGACAAAAUUGACAUUUUGUUGCGGCACCAUGUCGAGGUGUUCUUUUGCCACGACGUGGUGUUCUUCGAAUCCGCGUCUUUUUCCGUUCUACCACGAUGUGGCAAUUGUGUUCCAUGACGUGGUAGACCCUCAUGUCAGAUAGAUCUUUUUUUGCUUAAUUCAUAAAUUGAUUAGGAUAAUUACUUCAGAUAAUGUUUUUAAUUAUAUAAAACUAUAUAAUUAUCUAUGUAAACAUAUAUCCUUAUCUUGAGUUUGUGAAUUAUGCUUAUGUUUUAAUUAUAUUUAAUUAUUUGAUUAAUUAAAAGAUAAAUAAUAAAAACAUAAUUGGUUUACUUUAAAUUAAUUUAAUUCUUUAAUUCCGAAAAUUGAAUUUAAACCUAGUACUUUGAAAAAGCUUCUAAAAUACACCUUAUAUAUAUAUAUAUAUANNNNNNNNNNNNNNNNNNNNNNNNNNNNNNNNNNNNNNNAAAUCAGUCGAAUCGCUAGUAGCCUCAUUCACGAAGCUGAACUAUAAGGGGGUAUAAGGAUACUACCUAUAAAAUUGCGGUUAAAUGGGUGUCCACUAUUACCAACCGCUUCCUUGUUUAGUGGAGGGUCGUUAGCAGAAUGAAUUUGAUAGGACAAUAACCUCAUUAAUAUGUAUAAUGAUAUAAAGUAACUAAACUCUUUUAUAAAAUCUCACUCUUAGUUACUUUAAGAAAAAUGUGAAAAGUAUAUUAAUCCAUAAAAUUACACAUUAUACUUUAUAGUAGUUAGUGGAGGGCGUGUGGUUAACCGGCACACUAAUAUGGGAUAUAAAGAGUAAUAAUGGGCAUCUCGAAAAUUAUCAUUGAUUAAUGGAGAGCGUGUGGUUAACCGACACACUAAUAUGAGAUGAUAAAUGACAUCGAGAGUGCCAAGCAUAUUUGUAUUGUUAUUCACAUCUUGUUUGUGAUCCUCGGCAUCCUAGCCACAAAUAGUAGAGAAUAAUCUCAAAUUAAACAUGCCAUUGAUAGAUUCAAUAAAUCUCCAAAGAUCUAGGAAUUUCAUAGUUCAAAAUUGGUAAAUUGAUUUUACCUACCUUUAUAAAUUUGCGAUAAGAUUACGACAUCCCUCUUCUUAAUUGUGAAUUGUUAUUUUGGAUCCUAGCCUUAAUUAUUUAUUAUGGGUUAAAAUAUUAAGGAUUAUUAUCAUCUGACUACAUCUUUAUGUCUAUAGAUGUCUACUCCUCUUCGCCGUCUACCCACCACUUUGGUUUCACCCUACUCUCUAUCGUGUCCAAGGUGACCUUUGAUGACACCAACUACAAUGACUGGAUGAGUAACAUCAAUAUGGCUCUUCGAUUCGAGGGCAAAGAAUAUGUCCUCGAAGAAAAACUCGUUGAAAUCGAUGAAGCCAAAGCUACUCUAGCACAAUUAGCCUCAUAUAAGAAACACUAUGAUGAUGUAACAAAAGUUGCUUGCAUCAUGGUCACUACAAUGUGGGUUGCAGAGGUUCUAUGUGGACUACUGGUCAUAUGAAAUGUACAAUGAUCUUAUGGAAAAGUACCACAAGAUAGCUCGUCAAGAGAAAUAUAAAGUGGUCAAGUCCACAGGGCUUGCAAGAUGAAAGAAGGAGAGUUUGUGUUCAACCACAUGUAGGGAAUCUAAAGAUAUGUGGAAUGCCUUAUUACGCUUAAUGUGAAUUUUAACGAGUAGUUGGUCAUUGACAUGGUCUUGAAAUCCUUGCCAAGUUGUUAUGAUCAAUUCAUAUUGGCUUAUCAUUUGAACAACAUAGAAACCACAUUGGCCCAACUCCACAACUUGCUACAGAUUGGUGAGUCAGAAAUGAAGGGAGAGAAUCCAACCCCUUCCACUAAUGCUCCAAUUCUCUGCAAUGGUAAGUUCAAAUUGAAGAAGAAGAAGGAUUCUCCCAAAGCUAAUUGGAAGAACAAGGCCCAAGCUUGGUCAUCUAGCAAUGGCCUGAAGACAAGGCCCAAAUCAGGCAUUCCAGCUGUUAGUGGCCGCAAAGAGGCCACUUAUUACUAUUGCAAUGAUAAGGGCCAUUAGAAGAGGAGCUGCCCCAAGGACCUUUAAGACAUCAAGGAUGACAAAGUGAAGCCAUCGCCAUCACGUACAUACACUAUUCAAACUAAUAACUCAUAAUUUACUCAUUCUUGGGUCGGUGAUACAAGAUGUGGUUUUCUCAUUUGUUCUGAUUUGAAAGGGAUAAAAGAAGGUGAAGAGGUGGAGCAUCGGAAGAUGAAUCUGAUCAUGGAAAAUACGUGAUCUUCUCAUGUUACCUUUAAGACAUCAAGGAUGACAAAGUGAAGCCAUCGCCAUCACUUACAUACACUAUUCAAACUAAUAACUCAUAAUUUACUCAUUCUUGGGUCGGUGAUACAAGAUGUGGUUUUCUCAUUUGUUCUGAUUUGAAAGGGAUAAAAGAAGGUGAAGAGGUGGAGCAUCGGAAGAUGAAUCUGAUCAUGGAAAAUACGUGAUCUUCUCAUUUUACCAAGAUUAGGACUUAUCAUCUUAUGCUUAGUAUUGUUGUUAGUUUAGAUUUUAUAGAUUAUUGCUAUUCAUCACAAAUGACGAGAAACAUUAUUUCAUUUCAUGCAUUGUUUAGACAAGAUUUUUGUUAUUCAGCUAAUGAUUUGAUUGGUUCAAUUUUUAUUUAUAAAAAUGGUGUUUUUAUAUUUGCAUCUUUACCUUGUAAUGGUGUGUAUGAAAAUAUGAUUUGUGUUGAUAGCUUAGGCAAUAAUGUAUUUCACAUUGAUUCAUCUAAUGGUUUGGACAAGGCAUGCUUGUAGCAUUGUCGUCUUGGGUACAUUAAUAAGAAACGUAUCGCUCAACUCCAAAAGGAUGGAGUCUUGGAAUCAUUUGACCUAAGGCUAGAUGAUGAAUGCAAAGCUUGUCUUUUGGUCAAGAUGACAAAAUCACCUUUCACUGGAUCUUAUGAAAGAGGUGAAGGUUUUUUAGGACCUUAUACACACAGAUGUGUGUGGACCUUCAAAUCCACCACAAGGGAUGCUAAUCGAUUUUAUGUAACAUUUACGGAUGAUUUUGGCAGGUAUGGUUUUAUCUACUUGAUCAAACAUAAAUAAGAACCUUUUGAAAAGUUCAAAGAGUUUCAUCAUGAAGUCAAGAAUGAGUUAGGUAGGAAGAUAAAGAUACUCUGAUUGGAUAGAGGAGGAGAAUAUCUUAGUAUCGAAUUCAACGACUAGCUCAAGUAAUGUGGAAUAGUUUCACAACUGACUCCUCCUAGAACACCACAACUUAAUGGUGUGGCUGAGAGGCGCACUCUAACCAUGCUGGACAUGGUUCGUUCCAUGAUGAGUCGAGUCACUCUUCCUAUUUCCUUCUGGGGGUAUACCUUAGAGUCAGCCACCCAUAUCCUCAAUCUUGUCCCAACGAAAAAAGGUUUCCAAAAAACCUCACGAAAUAUGGACAAGGAAAGUUCCCUCGUUAGCACAUAUCAAAGUCUAUGGUUAUGAAGCUUUCAUUAGAUGAGAGACUCAUGACAAGAUAGAAGCCAGAAGUAAGAGAUGUAUUUUCAUUGGCUACCCACAAAAGUAUUUUGGAAACUUGUUUUACAGACCUAGUGAAAAUGUGGUCUUUUUAGCAUGAAGAGGAGUCUAGAGAGAGAGAUAGAUAGAUAGAGAGAGAGAGAGAGAGAGAGCGUAUAUGUAAAGAGGAUAAUGGGAACAUAAUUGAACUUGAAGAGAUUUUAGAGUCAACCAAUAAAGGAACCUUAGAAGACACUAGCACUCAACCAAAGGAAGAUAUUCCAGUUGAUAAUUCAUUACCUCUUCGUCGUUCCAGUUGAGUUAGCAUGCCACUAACAUUCCAUGGUUUGCAUAUAACGCCAGAUGAUGAUACAUUUAUUAGUGAUCAAACACUAAUAAAUUUCGAUGAGCCAGCUAACUACAAGGAAGAGAUGGCAGGCCCUGAGGGUACCAAAUGGAAAGAGGCAAUGGACAACGAGAUCAAGUCCAUGUAUGACAACCAAGUUUGGAAUUUGGUUGAUCAAGAACCUAGUUGAAAGACAGUUGGUUGAAAAUGGAUCUUCAAGAAGAAGACCGACAUAGAUGGAAAUGUGCACACAUUCAAGGAACGAAUGGUUAUGAAGGGAUUUACUCAAACCUAAGGAUUGACUAUAAUGAGACAUUCUCACCAGUCGCCAGGAUAAAAUCUAUUAGGAUAAUGCUUGCCAUAGCUUCUUUUCAUGAUUAUGAAAUUUGGCAGAUGGAUGUCAAAACCGCUUUUCUUAAUGGAACUGGUUGAAGAUGUUUACAUGAGUCAUCCAUAGGGUUUUGUUGAUGCAAAGUUUCCCAAUAUAGUGUGUAAGCUUGAGAAAUCCAUUUAUGGAUUGAAACAUGCAUCUCGCAGCUGGAAUCUUUACUUCCAAGAGAAAGUGAAAUAGUUUGUUUUUUUUCUAACAGUGAAGAUGAUAAUCGUGUGUAUGUCAAGGCUAGUGGGGGUAUAGUAACUUUUCUAGUAUUGUAUGUUGAUGACAUACUACUUAUAGGAAACGACGUUCCAACCUUGCAAGAAGUAAAAUCUUAGUUUGGAAAGGGUUUCGCUAUGAAGGCUCUAAGAGAGGGUGCCUAUAUUCUUGAGAUAAUAAUUUUGAGAGGUAGAAAAGAAAGAAUGAUUAGACUUAGUCAAAGUACAUACUUGGACAAGGUACUAAAAUGAUUUAUUAUGGAAAAUCCAAGAAAUGAGAGAUACCUGUUCAGAGCAUUUCCAAAUUGAGUAAGACUCAAAGCCCCUGUACAGAUGAAAAGAUAGACGAUAUGAGUUGAUUCCCUUAUGCUUCCGCUUUAGGAUCGAUCAUGUAUCCUAUGCAUGUACUCACCAUGAUGAGUCAUUUUCUUUAAGCAUACUCAGUCGCUAUUAAGGAAAUCCUGGCAGAGCUCAUUGGACAGCAGUUAAAAGCAUUCUCAAGUAUCUGUGAAGGACAAAAGGUAUGAUUCUAUUCUUUGGAGGCAGUGAUACAUUGAGAGUGACUGGAUAUAGUGAUGCUAACUUUCAAAAAGAUAGAGACGACUUUCGUUCUCAUUCUAGCUGGGUGUUGACAUUAAAUGGUGGAGCAGUUACUUGGAGAAGUUUCAAGCAAGACACAAUAGCUGAUUCUACGUGCGAAACAGAGUACAUAACGGUAAGUGAGGAGAGUUUCAUUGGAAGACAAUCAUAUAGAUCCUCUCACAAAGGCUCUAAGUAUGAUUAAACAUAUUUAGCAUGCUAGGAACAUUGGUUUGAGAGAUGAAAUUAGUUUUAGUAGUUAGAUGAUUAGUUUGAAACCUAUAACAAAAUAAAUGUAAUUGAUUUUUAGUGAUUAAAUAAUAGAGAUUAUUUAUGAGUUUGUUUACCUCCUUUGUCAAUUAUUUAUUCUUGUGUUUCAUUUUGCAUGUUUUACUUCCCAAAUAAUUUAAUUAUUCAAAUUCCACGGUCACUCAUACUUUGGGAAGUAAGUAGUGAAUUAAGACUGUCAUGAAUUGGAUUGUAGAUUUUCUAAGGGGGUUAGACAUAACAAUUGAAUUGCUAAAACAUUCAUGAGUACUUAGAAAUGGAGAUUGAAGUAUUGGAUAAAAUCACGCUCGGAGAAUUACUUCAUGGAUUAUAUCACGAGUAAUUCUGAGAAGAUAAUAUCUUACAUUCUUAAAAAGGAGAUAUAUGAGUUGUAAUUUACAAUUCGGUUGUGCAUUGGUAUGACGAAAACGCAUAAAAAACUGGAUGUUAUAAAACGUAGUGUCAUGUAUAAUUUGAUAAGUAAAGGAUACAAGCAUAUGAGUCAAAUUUUAUUCGUUCCUUUUUCCCUAAUGUAAAAAACGAUAUCUUUGGGCCCCUAAAUGAUUUGGUGUUGACUUAUAGUUCUGGGACCAGCCAGGACUCGAUUGAUGUGUUCAAUUUGAAGUCUUAUGUAGUCAUCACAAAUCAGGAUAUUGAGAAAUGAAACUUGGACAAUGAGAUUGAUUGUAAGCAUGUUUUGUGUCUAUAUGAUAUCUAGUAGAAUGGUGAAAUAUUUAAACACUUAUCUUAGGACGAAUGUAUGUUUUGAUCAAAGUUCGUCAGUUGUUAUGGAAACACUCUUUGUUGUCUAAUUUAGAAGUUAUACUGGUAAUUGCAGUUAUAGAUUUAUCCAAGUGGGAGAAUAUUGGAUUAGAUGUCUAACCCAAUAACUAAAUUAGUAUGUCCUUUGGCGUUGCCCUCAAACCUAGCAGUUGAAUAGGAUGACUUAUAUANNNNNNNNNNNNNNUAUAUAUAUAUAUAUAUAUAUAGAGAGAGAGAGAGAGAGAGAGACAUUGAUAUAGUGAUUUAUUAUAUGAUUAAUAAAUAGCAAUAAAUAAAUUUAUUAAUGUGUUAUGAAAACUAUAUAUUAAUUAGAAAUUGUAUUAGUUAAUCAAUAAUUAAUCAGAAAUUAAUUGGAAUUAAUUUUGGGAUUAAUUGGAUUAAUUAAAAGUUCAAGGUUUAGAGUGUAAUUGUUUAAUUGUUGAACAAAAGAGGUUCCAGAACUUUCCUUGGAAUGAGUGGACGAUUUUAUGGUAUUCUAAGUCAUCUGUAAUAUUCCUUGCAGAUAAAUAAGAAUCUGGAUAAUUACCAAUUGGAAAAGGAACCCUUGGCCUUGUAUUUUUGGCCCCUUCUCCUUUCCUAGAUUUACCCGAAAAUUCUAUCUCCCCUCUCCUCUCUCUUUAAUCCUCCUUGUUGCUAGGGAUGUGUGUGAAUCAUCAGAGGCAUGAGAUUUCUGGUGCUAGUUUCCAAGCAACUACAAGAAGGAUUGUUUGAUUGUUUAUUAUAACAAUCAAGUGGUAUGUUUUCUUCUAUGAUUUUUGUAAUUACCUAGGGUUAUAGGGUUCUUUUUGUUCAAUAGAAUGUUACUUUAAUAUAGUUAUGACUAGAUCUAAUAGGUUGCAUGUACCAUUAAGUGUAUAAGGAUUUAUCCGCGUUAUUGCAUGUAAAAUCCAACAAAACAAUUGGUGGAUGAAGUGACUGUUAGUGCUAACAUGGCAAGUACUUCAUGUAAUUAUGUUUUUGUGAACACUCUAAAGUCAAAUAAAGGGUGGUUGAUUCUUGGGUUAAUUAACAUAUGACCUCCUCAGAAUCUAUGCUUAAUGAUGUUUUUAAUGUGUCUAAUGUAAAUUCAAUAUUGGAUUGUCCAAAUGGAUCCACUGCUAAAAUUGAUAAAAUUAGGAACAUGAACAUUUCUGAAAAACUUACACUAUUUGAUGUAUUUGUUAUACUCGAUUUCAAUGUAAAUCUUUUAUCUGUUCACAAGCUAUGUAAGGAUAGUAAAUGUAAAGUUCUUUUUGAUAAAUAUAAUUAUACUAGGUGGGAUUCACAAUCCAUGGAGAUUGUGGAGACUAGUAAUGAGGGAGGAGGACUUUAUUAUUUUUCUAGUAUUCCCUUAGGAAAGCCUUCUAACAAUUCUAGUGUCAUUAAAUGUUUUGUCUCUAAACUGACCUGGCAUAGAAGACUUAGUCAUCCUCCAAAGAAAGUUUUAAUUGCUUUAAAAGACAAAUUAAACUUUAUUAAUAACUCCUUACCACCUUCUGAAAUAUGUCAUAAAGCUAAACAAACUAGCGAAAUAUUUCCUACAAUUAUUUACUCGUAUAAAAAUAUUGGGGAUAUAAUUUACCAUGAUGUUUGCGGGGCUUACAAAGUGGUUGUAAUUGGGGGUUUUAGGUUUCUCUGACUAUAGUGGAUGAUUUUUCUAUAGGAACAUGGAUAUAUCUCCUCAAGUCUAAAGAGGAGGUGUAUUCUUGUGUUUUAAUUUUUUAAAUUUUGUUGAAAAUCAUUUUUUAAAAUGGUGUGAUACAAUGAAUUUUAGUUAUAUUCUGAGGAUAUAUAUANNNNNNNNNNNNNNNNNNNNNNNNNNNNNNNNNNNNNNNAGUAAUGUCACUUGGAACUUAGAUAAUAACUUUUAAAAUGAAACAGAGUAAUAAAAAGGCAUAGACUGAAGGAAAGCAAAAAUGAAUGUUGUUCAAAAUAAAUGGGGAACAUUUAUGAUGAUUGUGAAUAUUUAGAGUUUGGGGAGUAGUUAGGAUCUAGACAUAAAUAAAUGCAUUGAGGUGAAAGAUAAUUGAUAAAUUAUGUUGUUGGUGAGCAAGGUUUUGAUGUGGUAGUAUUAAAAUUAAAUCAUAAUGCCUCAAGUUUUGCUUGGGUUCAAGCAAAAGAAUAGUGUGUGGUAUUUUGAUAUAGCGCUAUUUAAAUAUAUUUUAAGGCAUUAUCGUAAUAUAUUUGAGGAAAAAUGUUAUCUUUUAAGAUAGAUACUUAAUAUGAUUUGAAAUGUUCAAUUAUUGUUAAAAUGGAACCUGGGAUGCAAAAGGAGGAGAAUGGAGCUGAAAAAGACGCAAAAAAGGAUGUUUUUGCACAGAUUGACAUCUCUUUAGUAUUUUGGCCUAUCUAAUGACUCAUAACACCGAUUAUGGAUAUUCAAAAUGUUAUGAAAACUAGACAAAAUUUCGGACGACUUUUGUGUUUGUGCCAACUACAAAUUUCCAGUUCCCAUGUUGUGGCAAAGGCAUUACCACGAUGUGGUGGAUCAAAAAUCACAAAAAAUGCUUUUGUCAGUUUACACGGUUGACUACGAUAGGGAUUCCAGUUAUCACGACGUGUCAAGUCUUUUACCAUGAUGUGGGGACGCUUAAACCUAUAAAUAAAUCUAAAAAUUAACCCUAAUGAUAUAUCUUAAAUCCUAGUUCGAUUUCUGUGAUUAUAAACCUUAAAGUUGCGAUUUUGAGAGUCUAGAAGGCAAUAUGAGGGCCGUUAAGCUGAUAUGGAGCGAAGACCUGAAGGAUUCUAGAGCAGAUUCAUGACGAGAUUCAUUUGGUUUUCUUUUCCGAUCACGAUUAGUAUUCCAAUUGUGUUCCUACUAUGUUUACUUUCUGAAUUUGGGUGUUGAAACAUUUGCUUUUGUUUGGAGUAGAUGAACUUCGAUAAUAUGUGUUGAAUUCAAUAAUUCAUAUUUUAUUAGUUUGGUUGUUAAUUGUGGUUGAUUGAUCGCAUCACCUAUCAUGUUAAAGUUAUGAUUUUUAUUGCAUAUUGAUGAAUUAUGUGUAGUUCAGAUGACCAAUCUGAUUACAUUGACUUGAAUCUUAGCUGUUUUAUGAAUAUAAAGUGUUAGGAUUAGUAAUCGAAAAAAUCCUAGGGUUAGGUUAUAUUAAUUGGUGAUUUCGAAUGUGUUAGAGAGCUUAGAUAUCCAUGCUAAUCGAGAUUAAACAUGUCAUUGAAAAGUUCAAUGAAUCUCAAAAGAAUCUAGGAAUUUCAUUUCAUUUAAAACCUAAAUGUUCAUUUCGUUUUUCGUGGUGGAAUUGGUAAAUCGUCACUUACCUACCUUCAUAUAAUUUGCAAUUGGAUUACGGCAUCCCUCUUCCGAAUUGUGAAUUAUAGUGUUGGGUCCUACCUUUAAUAUUUCAUUUGGGUGUUGUAUUAAGGAUUGCUUAUCUAAUAGAAACUUUUUUCCUUUUCUUUUUCAGUUGUCUGGCUCAAACAAUGCUUCUAGCUUGAACUCCUCAAGCUCCUUUUCUCUUAUGAACUUUUGUGGGAGGGUCACCUUUGAUGAAUCCAAUUUCAAUGAUUGGAUCCGCAACAUUCGCAUGGCCCUUCGAUACGAGGAGAAAGAAUACGUCCUCGAUGAAAAGCUUAGAGAGAUAAAUGAAACCAAAGCUUCUGCUGAAGAAAUAACUGAGUAUAGGGAUAACGAAAAAGACACGACAAAGGUGUCGUGUAUAAUGGUAGCCACUAUGACUCCUGAGCUCCAGCUAUUCUACGAGGACUACCGACCUUACAAGAUGUGCCAAGAUUUGAUAGGAAAGUACCAUCAAAGUGCGUGUCAAGAGAGGUACGAGAUUUUCGCCUCAUUGAUAACGACCAACAUGAAAGAUGGAGAGUCCAUCACGAGCCACUUACAAAGAAAGCAAAGGUAUAUGGAUCGAUUGCUCAUGUUAAAUUUCAACUUUGACAAAGGGUUGGCGAUUGUGUAACACUCUAAAAAUUCCAACCAAUUUAAACUUUUCAAAAACAACCCAGUUUCAUUAAGUUAUUACAAAAAGGUUUUCAAUACAUUUAUUAUCGGAGUAUUCCCAGAACCAUAUCAUAAAACAAGAAAAUGAGGAGUUGUACGAUCACGCCUUCGCUUUGCCACGGUCUCCUGAAGUACCUGAAAGACAUUAAACCACAACUGUAAGCCCGAAAGCUUAGUGAGAUGCCCCCAAAAUACCAACCACAUAUACCACACAUAACAUAUCAUAACCGAAUAGAACAGCCAUGCACUUCGGGUUUACUUGUGUGACUGGUCCGCCACACCGGGCCUUCAGUCCACCGGGUCCUCCCUCCGGGUCUAGCCAUAUCCAUUGAGUCUGCAGUGUGGUUGGUCCGCCUGCACCGGGCCUUCAACCCACCUGGUCCACCCUCUGAGUCUACAGUAUGACUGGUCCGCCCGCACUAAGCCUUCAGUCGUCCUGGUCCAUUCUCCGAGCCUCGGCACAUCUGGUCCGCCCUCGUGGGGUGUUCAGCCUAUCCGGACCGCUCGCUGGGCCUCGGAAUAACCGGUCCGCCCUGGGUAUGUUGGCCUACAACACAAAGCAGGACUCGCCUCAACCUAACUCCAAUCCAACAACCAUGUGCACAUAAACAUUCAAUCAUAUAACAAUUCACAUCCAAUCAAACCGAUCUAGCAGAUCACAUAACAUCACAUCAUCCUAACCAAGAUACCGACCUAACCGGUCACUAGCAUAGCAUCAUCCUACAUAUCAGGAUACCGGACAUAGCAAAGCAAUAACAUAACAACAAUACCCAGAUUACAAUCUGAUAAAGGGCCGGUCUUGGUGCCGCAGACCCUGUCGAUAUAGUGAGGAUAACUCACCUCGCAACUGCCGACUGAAAAGAUAAAAACGAGCUGCUCCGACCACUGACACGAACUCCACCACUGAUAAUACCAAAAGACUGAACUCAAUAACCACCAAAUAAUUACCAAAUUACCCCUGGGAGGUCAAUUUGUCAACUCUUGGUCAAAUUCAAAGUCCUCAGUUAAAGUCAACUCUCUUGACUGACUCUACUCGCCGAGUUACCCCGUUGACUCAUCGAGUUCCCUUGCUCAGAAAACUCCCAAAUCACAAUUCAACUCGCCGAGUCACCCCGAGACUCGCCGAGUUCCACAACUCUGAGUCCCCUCGCACUCAACUCACUGUGUCAUCCCUUGACUCACCGAUUCACGACUCAACCAGAAGAGGUUAGGACCUCCCGACCAGACUCGCCGAGUCCAAGGCCAUCUUCAACCAACUCGCCGAGUUGUUCUUCCAACUCGUCGAGUUCCUGCCUAUCUUCAUGCAACUCACUGAGUACACCCUUGUGACUCACCGAGUACCCCUAGGUCUUAAUCCAUACAGAGGCUUUCCAGGCCAUGCGGAUGAUCCAAACAAUAGAUCUACCAUUCCACAAGCCAUCCAUCACGUAAAGUGGCAAACUUUACGUGAAUCCAAAGAGAUCUAGGCAUAUAACACUUUAGGGUUAGGGUUUAGGACAAGAUGGCUUCACCAAUCACUCAAGAACAGGGACUUUUAUGCACUCUAGACCUUCUCCAUUCCAGAUCUGAGGUAGCAACCUCAUAUCUAACCUCCAAACUCAAAAUAUCAUAAGAUAUGCUUUCCAAAAACUCCAAAAUGAUGAAUCUAGAUGAAUAACAGCCCAAGCAACGAAAUAAUACCUCAAAAGAAAACUCCAACAGAAGAGUAAUCCAAAUCCUUGCAAAGCCCUUUGCUCCAAGCCUCUUAACCUUCAAAGAUCUCUUCCACAAACACUCCUCCAAGGUUCAAAUGCUCUCUAAUUCACUCACAAACGCGCAUUAGGGUUUCUAGACUUCAAGGGAGAGUAAGGAGGCUGGGGAGGGGGUAUUAUGUCCCUUAUAUAGGACUCAACCCCCAGAAUUAGGGUUUUCUCCACACAACACCAACUCGCCGAGUCCAGCCACCGACUCGCUGAGUUGGCCACUUAACACGCGACCAGAAUCGCGACCCUACUCGCCGAGUCCACCCAUGGACUCGCCGAGUUGAUCAUCCACAUUUUCACUAUGAUCCCUGAACUUGCACUCCUGAGCUUGGGAUGUUACAGAUUGAUAUCAUUCUCUACUCUUUACCUCGUUGAUAUGAUCAGUACAAGAUGACUUAUGAUAUGAACAAGGAGGAAGUCACCUUGAGAAAACUUCAAGGUUUGUUGAGAACUGCUGAAAGUGGAAUGAAAACUAAAGCUGUCAAGUCCACCCCUACUAUUGCUGCCCCCGUCCUUGCAAUAGGACAUGAAAAAGGAAAGAAGAGGAAAGCUCCCUCUAAGAGCCACACGGGAAAGUCUCGUGAUGGAUCCUCCUUAAAUGGAUCCAAAGGUAAAUCCAGUUCUGCCACUCCCUCAUCCGAUCCUAAAAAAAGCAACGUGCUUUUAUUGUCACGGGAUGGGGCAUUGGAAACAAAGUUGCCCGAAAUACUUGUAGUACAUCAAGGAUGGGAAGAUAAAACCCUCCUUCGCAUGUAUUUAUACUAUUCAAUCUAAUAAGUCAUCACAUGCUAGUUGUUGGGUCCUUGAUAUAGGAUGUGGUUUUCACAUUUGUUCUGCUUUGCAGGGGCUAAGAAGAAAUAGGGAUGUGGAGCAUGGGAAGAUGAACCAGAUAAUAGGGAAUAGGAAAUCGUCGCCUAUCACCAAGAUCCGGAUUUAUUCUUUAGUGAUUAGUAGUGGGUUAGGUUUAGAGUUGAAUGAUUGUUGCUACUCAUCAGAAAUGACGAGGAAUAUUAUUUCUUUUCAUGGUUUGUACAAACGAGGUUUUAGAUUUUCAUUUAAUAGUGAAAUUGGUUCUAUUAAUGCUUUAUAUAAUGGUACUUUAUAUUUUGAUGCAUUUCCAAUGGUGUAUAUGAAACUAUGAUGGUUGUAGACAACUUAGGAAAUAAUGUGUUGCAUAUCGAUUCGUCUAAUGGUUUAGACAAGGCAUUCUUGUGGCAUUGUCGCCUUGGACAUGUCAACAAGAAACGCAUAGCGCAACUCCAAAAGGAUGGAGUCUUGGAGUCUUUUGACCUAAAGUCAGAUGACACGUGCAAAUCUUGUUUGUUUGGAAAAAUGACUAAAUCACCUUUCAAUGGUACUUCUGAAAAAGGUGAGGCAUUGUUGGUGUUGGAUAAGGUGUCUAAGUCCGUAACUAUAUUUGGUAUCAACUUGACCCGACCCAGCAUGGUCCAUUUGGGUUGCACUUCACCUAACAAUUUGUAUGGAUAUACUUUUGAAAAUAAGAUAUUUAUGAUAUAUUAAUAUAUUAUUAGUUAUAAUAUAUUAAUAUGAUAUCAUAAUUAUUUAAUUAGUAUUGAUCAAGAAUUAAUUUAGAAUUAAUUAAGUGAUCAAAAUGGAGCUAAUUAAAUAUGGACUCUUAUUUAUAUAUAUGGAUUAGGCUAAGAUUUAUUUAGGAUGGGCUAAGUGUAUAUGGAGUCCAUGGAUAGUCCAUGGAGCUUUUAACCCAUGGAUCCUAGGUAAAUGAAGAGUCACAGGUAUUAGGGUUUAACCCUAAUCCUCCAUACUAUAUAAAGGAGUCCUUGGUUCGAGAAUUGGCACUAGUGUGUGUGUGUGAGCAUAAGAGUGAGCCGAUUUAUACGAGUGUUCUUAUUCUCUCAAGAGCUUCCAACUUGUUUUGGUGAUUUGUGACAUCACUUGAGGCAUCCACACUAUUGGUGCUAGCCUCAAAACUCCAAGCAAUCAACUACAAAAGAAAGGUAUGUUAUUCUACUUAAUGUUUUAUAAUACAAGUACCCCAUAACAUGCUAGUUAGGUUGUGAACCAUGGAAUUCAUAUUUGCAUGUAUUUUAUAGAAAACAUAGAUCCAAGGUUUCUAGGGUUGCAUGUACACCACAAGAGUGUUAUUAUGCUCAUAACCCAACAUUUGAAUCUCUUACAUACCGAUAUGUGUGGGCCCUUCAAAUCCACCAUAAGGGAUGCUAACCGCUUCUAUGUUACGUUCACUGAAGAUUAUAGCAGAUAUGGGUAUAUCUACUUAAUCAAGCAUAAGUCGGAAACCUUUGAAAAGUUCAAAGAGUUUAAACAAUAAGCGGAGAAUCAAUUGGGCAGGAAGAUACAGAUGCUCAUAUUUGAUAGGGGUGGUGAGUAUCUUAGUAUCGAGUUCCACGACUAUCUUCAUGAAUGUGGAAUUUUUUCACAACUGACGCCGCCUAGGACACCGCAGCUCAUUGGUGUGGCUGAGAGGCACAAAUGAACCUUAUUGGACUUGGUUUGUUUAAUGAUGAGUCGAGCUUCGUUACCUAUCUCAUUUUGGGGGUAUGCCUUAGAGACUGCCACCCAUAUCCUUAAUCUAGUCAUAACUAAGAAGGUUUCCAAAACACCUCACCAGAUAUGGACAUGGAAGGUUACCUCGUUGGAACAAAUCAAGGUUUGGGGUGGCGAAGCUUUCGUAAGACGAGAGACUCACAACAAACUUGUGUUGGAUUAGGUGUCUAAGCCCAUAACUAUAAUUGGUAUGUACUUGACCCGAUAGUAGCAUGAUCCUUUUGGGUUGCAUUCACCAGGGCAAUUUUGAUAGGAUGGAUAUUUAAGAAAGAGGUUCUUUGUGAUUUAUUAAUAUAUUAUAAGUAUAAUAUAUUAAUUGACAAAUCAUAUUAUUUAAUUAGUAUUGUUCAAGAAUUAAUUUAGUGUUCAAAGAAGACUAAUUAAAUUAACAUGGACUGAUUAAGUAAAUCAGUGAUACUUAUAGUUUGGGCUAAUGAUCAAUGUUGAUUACGUAGACUAAAUCUUUGUGGAGUCCAUGAAGAUUUAGUCCAAAUGGCUUAUCAUAUGGAUUAUUGGAUUAAAGGCCCAAGGGAGUGGAUUAGGGUUUACAAGUUGAAACUCUAGGAAUUCCACACUAUAAGUGUAACUCUUUAGCUCCAAAACUGGCACCCAAGGAUUCCAAGUAGAAUCCUAGCCGAUUUUGUGUGUUCAUGACCUCUCUCUCUCUUUAUCAUCCAUUUGUUCAUGGUGUCUUGUGAUUCCAUUAGAGGCAUCACACUUAAGGUAUUCAACCAACUUGAUUUUAUGUUGCAAAUAUCAAAUUGUAUGCUAGUUGUAGGCUUCAUGCUUUGGAUAAUUUUAUUGCAUGUAUAACUAGAGAAAACUUAGAUCCAAAGCAUUAGGGUUGUAUGUGCACCAUAGGAAUGUUAGAGUACAUAAAACCCAACAACUUGAAACUCGCAGUGAGCGGUGUAUUUUCAUUGGCUACCCGCAGAAGUCUUUUGGAUAUCUUUUCUAUAGAACGAGUGACAACGUCGUCUUUGUAGCAAGUAGAGGGGUUUUUCGAGAGAGAGAACUCAUAUGCCAAGAAGACAGCGGGAGGCAAACUGAUAUUAAAGAGCUUCAAGAGUCAAGUGAUGAAGGAACCUCUAACACUAGCGCUCAAUUUGAGGAAGAGAUUCAUGUUAAACCAGUUGAUGAGUCCUUACCUCUAAGACGUUCUAGUAGAGUUAGUGUUCCACCUAUGUUGUAUCGUUUCCACAUAACUGCUGAAGGUGAUACAUUUAUCAAUGAUAGUACUGUAACAUCCCAAAUUUCGAGGCCAAAAAUUUCAUUUUUAGAAUUUAGCAUGUAAUAAGGCGUGUUACUAAAACAUUGUCAAAGUUACAUUAAUUAUAAAACAUAAGGUCAUGUCUCAAAAUGAUAUCAUCGGAACAAGAAAAUCAGAGUACAAUCCCAGAAAAUCCAGUGCGGAAAUCAUGUGUGUGAUGCGCCGCUACACCGCCGGCUCUUUCCCCUUUGACGAAGAGGUACCUGAAACCGCAAUUAAAACUGUAAGCACGAACCUUAGUGAGUUCCCCCAUCAUACCACAUACCAUUCAAUGCCAUCGGUAUUGUUCAACCGGUAAUCAUCUUCGGUAUCUUUCAACCGGUAAUCAUCAUCGGUAUCUUACAACCGAUAAUCAUCAUCAGUAUCUUUCAACCGGUAACUGGGGUCUAUUCCACCCCCUACUACUACUGACAUACAACAACAAGGUAUAAGCAUACAAUCAGGCAUAUCCGAGUACUGACGUACUCUUCGGUCCUAAAAGACCAUUGUUAGGGAAAAACUAUCCCUAUCAUACACAUAACAUAUCAUACAGAAAUAUCUCAUAACCAAACACGUAUCCAUACCGAGAUAAUUAUCACGAAGACAAUCAUCUUCUAAAAUAAUCCUACUUGGUGGGCCGGCAUUGUGGCCUUAGACCCACCCUUAUUGAAAGGUAACUCACCUCAAAAGGCUGACUGCUGAAAAACUGAUCCGCAAAUGUCUGACAGCUACUCCGGUGAUCCCCCGGCUAUAUUCCUAUAAAACACUUAAUCAGACAAUAAUACUAAUCCUAGGGUAAAAAGACUAUUUUACCCCUGAUCGAUUCCAAACCAAAGUCAAGUCAAAGUCAACUUCCAGUUGAUCCGACUCGCCGAGUUGGCAUGCCAACUUGUCGAGUUCAUAUCCAGCCGAUUGACCUUACUCCCGCCUCUACUCGUCGAGUUAGGCAUUGACUCGACGAUUUCUCUUCCUAACUGAAUACACAAUGGUCCUUCAUCCAACUCGUCGAGUUAAUAUUCAUCCGAUGAACACGUUCUGUCCUCGACUCGCCGAGUUGAUGAAUAACUUGCCGAGUUUUAUGAAGAUUGCCUUGGACCCGCCGAGUCAGGGCAUUGACUCGCCGAGUCCCUCCAUUGAUGAGUUUGGCUUCCGACUCACUGACUCUACCUAUGGCUCACUGCUCUACUCGCCUUCUCGAAAAGGGGAAAAAUCGGGGACUCGCUACUCGACUCGCCGAGUUCGAAGAACAACUCGCCGAGUCGCAUCCAUGCAAUCUCUCUAUACUCGAUUCUGCUUGAAUCCAGUGCAUUCCAUUCAUAGAUCUGGGUUCCUAGGACUCGGUUAACACGUAAAGUUUCCAACUUUACGUGUAUAUAAUCAUCCAUGGGGAUUCUAAGGCUCAAAACACACAAAAAGGGGUAGAUCUAGGGCUUUCAUGCAAUAUGGCCCCAUAAAGGUAUUAGAUCUAGGCUUCUGGAACUCGAACAUAGCCAGAUCUAGCAGCUAUUCAGCCCAUUAUGAUCCCUAUACUACUGACAAGCUUGGAAAUGGGUCAAAGAUAGCUUAAUGGUGUUCUAAUGGGGAUUUGAGCAUAGAAACAGAAUAGAUCCGAAUUGUAACUCAAUGAACUCUGGAGUAAGUCCUAGAUUCUUGCUCUUCACCUUCUCUUUUGGUCUUUCCUUCCUUCUCUUCUUCAAACUCCAAGGAACAAGCACAAGAUUACUUCAAAUCACAAGGAGAGGGUUAGGGUUCGGUAUAUGAUGCUUUGAGGGUGAUGGAGGCUAACUUGGGGCGCAUAAAGGGGGUUUAAAUAGGGUGCAAACCCCUGAAAUUAGGGUUUCUUCAAGACUGAUGGACUCGCCGAGUCUCGAACUUAAACGUGCUCAAAAUCCCGUCCCUACUCGGCGAUUCUGGCCUACGACUCGCCGAGUCCAAGGCUAAAAAAGGUAAAAUACUCAGAUAAAUCAUACAUACCAGGAACCAGGUGCUACAAGUCUCCCCCGCUUAUUUUAGACUUCGUCGUCGAAGUCUGUUGCUCGAUCCUGAAAUAGCUCGGGGUAAUGCUCCAUCAUUUCCUUCACCGGCUCCCAAGUCCACUCCGAACCCUUCCGGUGCUGCCAUGGCACCUUCACAAGUUCCACCCUGUUGCUCUUUAGAUCCCUCGACUUUCGGUCGAGGAUUACCACUGGUCGCUCAAUGUAAUUCAGGUUGCCAUCGACCUGAAUAUCCUCCAGGGGUACCACCGCUGAGUCGUCCACCAGACACUUUCGUAAAUGAGAAACAUGGAAAGUGUUGUGUAUCUGACUGAGUUUGGAUGGCGGAUCCAGCCUAUACGCCACCUUGCCCACCCGGGCCAGAACCCUGAAAGGUCCAAUGUAUCUGGGGCCCAACUUGCCCCGUUUCCUGAAUCGGAUGACGUCGUUCCAUGGCGACAACUUCAGGAGAACCAUAUCCCCGACCUGGAAUUAUAGGUUUGAUCGGCGCUUGUCGGCGUAACUCUUCUGCCGACUCUGAGCAGUCUGAAGCCUGCUCCGAACCUGUUGAAUCCUCUCGGUCGUCUUGAGCACCACUUCGGUGCUCUCCAUGACCCUUUGGCCUACCUCACCCCAACAUAUCGGGGUCCUACACCUCCUUCCGUAUAACAUCUCAAAAGGAGGACGGUCAAUACUCGUGUGGUAACUGUUGUUGUAUGAGAACUUAGCCAAAGGAAGAUAGGUAUCCCAGCAACCACUGAAGUCUAGCACGUAUGCCCACAGCAUAUCCUCCAGAGUCUGGAUGGUCCUCUCAUUCUGACCAUUUGUCUGCGGGUGAAAAGCAGUGCUAAAAUGUAGACGAGUACCCAGCUCGUCAUGGAACUUCUUCCAGAACCUGGAAGAAAACCGCACAUCCCUGUCCAAAAUCACCAAAACUAGCACUCCGUGCCGCGCCACCACCUCCCUGAUAUAGAUAUCGGAUAAUUUCUCGGCCGAGAUGCUCUACUGAAUCGGGAUAGAGUGGGCGCUCUUGGUCAAUCGAUCGACGAUGACCCAGAUCGAAUCCACUCCCCGCGCGGUCCUAGGAAGCUUGGUGAUAAAAUCCAUCGUGAUGUCUUCCCAUUUCCACAACGGAAUCUCUAACGGCUGCAUCUUGCUGUGGGGCCUCUGGUGCUCGGCCUUGACCUUCCUGCAGGUCAAGCACUGCUCCACGUACCAAGCGACAUCCCACUUCAUGCAGGGCCACCAAUAGUCCAGACGAAGAUCCCUAUACAUCUUCGUCGCCCCGGGAUGAAUGGAGAACCGGGAUUUGUGCACCUCCUCCAUCAGAACCUGGCACACGCCUCCAUGAUAAGGGACCUACACCCUACGGUGAAGAGUCAACAACCCUCGGCUAUCAUAGUUGAAGGAGGAAACCUGCCCCACAAUCCGCUCACUCUUCCAAUGUUCCUCCUUCAUAGCCUCCUGCUGGGCCUCUCGAAUCCGCUCCAAAAGCGGAGUCACCACUGUCAUCCUCAGGCAAAUAUCUCGGAUCGGCGCUGCCUUGCGGCUAAGCGCGUCAACCACCACAUUGGCUUUCCCCGGGUGGUAGAGGAUCACACAAUCAUAAUCCUUUACCACGUCAAGCCACCGACGCUGCCUCAUGUUCAGAUUCGGCUGGUCCAUGAGAUACCUCAGGCUCUUUUGGUUCAUGUAAAUGGUACAACGAACCCCAUAGAGGUAAUGACGCCAAAUCUUGAGGGCGAACACAACAGCCCCCAACUCCAAAUCAUGCGUCGGGUAGUUCGCCUCGUGAGGCUUCAGUUGCCUUGAAGCGUAAGCAAUAACGUGCCCUCUCUGCAUCAACACUGCGCCCAAACCCGAGAUGGAUGCAUCACAAUACACAACAAAAUCCUCUAUGCCCUCUGGCAGGGCUAAGAUUGGUGCCUCGCAUAAUUUUUGUCUCAACGUCUCGAAUGCGGCCUGCUGCUCGGGCCCCCAACGAAAAACCACGGCUUUCCCCGUCAACCUGGUCAGAGGUACGACUAUCUUGGAGAAGUCCCGAAUAAAUCUCCGAUAGUAGCCCUCCAAUCCUAGGAAGCUCCGAAUCCCGGAUGGAGACCUCGGGACCUCCCAUUUCAUCACGGCCUCCACCUUGGCCGGAUCCACUAAUAUCCCGUCCUGGUUGACAAGGUGCCCCAAAAACUGCACCACGCGCAACCAGAACUCACACUUGGAGAAUUUAGCAUAUAAGCUCUCCCUCCUUAAAGUACUCAGAUCCUCACGCAAAUGCUCCUCAUGCUGCUCUCGUGUCUUGGAAUAAACCAAGAUAUCUUCAAUGAAAACAAUCACGGACCGAUCCAACAUCGGCCGACACACACGAUUCAUGAGAUCCAUGAACGCGGCAGGAGCAUUGGUGAGCCCGAAAGGCAUCACCACAAACUCAUAAUGAACAUAGCAUGUACGAAAAGCAGUCUUCUGCACAUCCUCCUCUCUGACCCUCAUCUGAUGAUACCCUGACCGCAAAUCAAUCUUGGAGAACCAAGAUGCUCCCUGAAGCUGGUCGAAGAGGUCAUCGAUCCUCGGGGGUGGGUACCGGUUCUUCCCCGUUACCUUGUUCAGCUCCCGGUAGUCUAUACACAUCCGAUGCGACCCGUCCUUCUUCUUUACAAACAUAAUCGGGGCUCCCCAGGGUGAACUACUCGGUCUAAUGAAUCCAUUGUCUAACAACUCCUGCAGCUGUGUAGACAACUCCAGCAUCUCAGGAGGAGCCAACCGAUACGGCGCCUUGGCUAUCGGAGCCGCGCCAGGGACCAGGUCGAUCCUAAACUCUACCUGCCUCUGUGGAGGUAUCCCACGCAACUCCUCGGGGAAUACAUCCAUAAACUCCUGCACCACGGGUACAUCGCCCACUGUCACCUUACCCGCCUCCCGGGUGUCCAUAACAUACGCGAUAUACCCUGCGCAACCCUGCUGAAGGUAGCGCCUGGCUCUCGCUGCUAAACAUACAGCUGGUCCUCGCUGUGGCCUCUCGCCCUGAACUACCAACUCUCCCUCACUUGGGGUCUUGAUCCGUACCAGCUGAUGUGCACAAUCUAUCACUGCCCCAUUGGGGCGCAACCAAUCCAUGCCUAUAAUAAACUUGUUCCCCCGCAAUGGUAUGGGAACUAGUUCUACCAGGUAACGUNUUCCCCCGCAAUGGUAUAGGAACUAGUUCUACCAGGUAACGUUCCUCGAACAGCCUCAAGACACAAUCUCGGUAGACCUCCGAUGCUCGCACUGAUCGGUCGUCUUCAAUCUCGACCUCUAGAGGGCAGUCCAACAUGCUCGAAGACUCAGGAAAUUUCUUGCUAAGCACAAGAGAGACAAAUGAUCGGGUAGCACCCGAAUCAAAUAAUACCUGAACUAGGAUACCGUUCACAUGGAGCGAUCCUAAACACAUAUACACAGGGCACAAUAUCAAUAUCAUAACAUCAUACAAAUAAAUCAGAGGGAAAGAAUCAUACCCGUCACCACAUCGGGUGCAGCGCGUGCCUCCUCGGCUGUCAGCUGAAAAGCUCGGCUCCGAACCACUGGAGCCUCUGACUUGACCUUCCGGCCAUCCAUAACCCGUACUGUUGCUAACGCUGGCGCCACUUCCGGCGCUGUUGCUGCUGUUGGUGCUGUCAACCAGGGACAAUUGGCCUUUUUAUUGCCCUUCUGAUUGCAAUGGAAGCAAAUCAGGUCUGAUUUCUAAAUCGCAGAAUCAGGGGCGGUACAAUCUCUACCAAAAUGUCCAACCUUGCCACACUUAUAGCAGCCUGAACCCGGCCCAGUGCGACAAACUCCCUCAUGUGCCCGACCGCAUUUCCCACAGCGGUCCCGGCCCGUCUGGCCUUUCGGCCUACCAUCGGGUCCCUUGGGCUUCUUCCCCGNNNNNNNNNNNNNNNNNNNNNNNNNNNNNNNNNNNNNNNNNNNNNNNNNNNNNNNNNNNNNNNNNNNNNNNNNNNNNNNNNNNNNNNNNNNNNNNNNNNNNNNNNNNNNNNNNNNNNNNNNNNNNNNNNNNNNNNNNNNNNNNNNNNNNNNNNNNNNNNNNNNNNNNNNNNNNNNNNNNNNNNNNNNNNNNNNNNNNNNNNNNNNNNNNNNNNNNNNNNNNNNNNNNNNNNNNNNNNNNNNNNNNNNNNNNUGAAGCUCCACAGCUGGUGCAAACUCAGCCCCGAAUCGGGUCACGAAAUCUGACCAUGUCAUAGCCUCAAUGGCUAGGGCUCUCAACGUAUUGCCAAUCAACUCCCACCAAUCCCUGGCUCUAUCCCUCAAACAACCUGCAGUGAAACGGACCUUCGACCCUUCCGGGCAGAAGCUCGUCAGCUGUGCAGACUCGAUGUCUGCGAUCCAUCUCCUAGCAGCAAUGUGGUCCUUCACCCCAUGGAAAUCCGGUGCACCACUCCUACGGAAGUCCUUAAAGGACAGCGUACGGAUACCCACUUGGCUAGACGCCAAAUCACUCCUGAAUGCCCGGAGGCGAUCCUCCAUCAGCUCGAUAAUCCCUUCCUUGAUCGACCCGAAAAUGACCGGGGUCGCCUCAAGGAUACCUCUCGUAAUCUCAGACGCGAUGAACUCGCGCAACCCAUCAUCAACAUGCUCGGGUCCCUGACCCGAACCCAAUCCCGAACCAGGUCCUGAUCCCCCUGCUCCAUGACGUGUGACCACCAUUCUGAAAAAUAAUAAUGCAAUUUUCAGGAUCUUAUAUACCCCCGGAGGGUCUCACACACUCUCCAAGUUUCCAGGUCUCAUCCCAAUCCUCCUUGAAUCGAGUACGGAUCCUCUGCUUUCAGUAGUACGGGCCCAUACUACCUUCCACAUCUAUCUAUACUUUCCCCAAGGAUUGCCUCGACUUCACCAGGUCCCUUUCACUGAUGCUCUUUCCACUAAUCACAUCCUAGGCUUCCCUAGGGCACCCUCAUACUUACUCCCCGCCAUCAGCUGCAUUAAGAGUCCUUACCGCGUCCCCCUAACUAGCUUGUGGAUACCGUUACAUAUCCGUUCACCAGUUAGUCGAAGUUGGCCAGAACCCCUAUAGCCCAAAGCAAGCAACAUUCGUGCGUUGAGUAACCAAACCAGGCAUAACCCACACAGGACAUCCUAAUGAUUAAACAGUCCUAGCAUACAGCUCAUACAACAGGCAUGUGAGGCAUCCUUCCUAGAUCCUUAGCCCUAGCUAGCAUGCAAUUCUCAGAAUCAUACAUCAGGCACACAAGGCAUCCUCCUAGAUCCUUAGUCUUAUUCUAGCAUGCAAUUUUCCGAAUCAAAACCAUACAACAUAACAUAACAAGUAUGGGUAUCUUGGGGAAAACUUACUUGAGCCCGGCCGGUCGCACGCAUCACACACUUCAUCUUUCUUAAAGCUUCCCAUUUUAGAUUUUAGAAAACCAUUUUCCUUCAAAAAUCUUUUAGUCCCUCAGUUUGAGUCCAGACACCCCCGAGGGUGUGUCCGAAUCCCUCAAACCAGGGCUCUGAUACCAACUUGUAACAUCCCAAAUUUUGAGGCCAAAAAUUUCAUUUUUAGAAUUUAGCAUGUAAUAAGGUGUGUUACUAAAGCAUUGUCAAAUUUACAUUAAUUAUAAAACAUAAGGUCAUGUCUCAAAACAAUAUCAUCGGAACAAGAAAAUCAGAGUACGAUCCCAGUAAAAUCCAGUGCGGAAAUCAUGUGUGUGAUAAGCCGCUACACCGCCGGCUCUUUCCCCUUUGACGAAGAGGUACUUGAAACCACAAUUAAAACUGUAAGCACGAAGCUUAGUGUGUUCCCCCAUCGUACCACAUACCAUUUAAUGCCAUCGGUAUCUUUCAACCGGUAAUCAACUUCGGUAUCUUUCAACCGGUAAUCAUCAUCGGUAUCUUACAACCGAUAAUCAUCAUCGGUAUCUUUCAACCGGUAACUGGGGUCUAUUCCACCCCCUACUACUAAUGACAUACAACAACAAGGUAUAAGCAUACAAUCAGGAAUAUCCGAUUACUAACGUACUCUUCGGUCCUAAAAGACCAUUGUCAGGGAAAAACUAUCCCUAUCAUACACAUAACAUAUCAUACAGAAAUAUCUCAUAACCAAACACGUAUCCAUACCGAGAUAAUUAUCACGAAGACAAUCAUCUUCUAAAAUACUCCUACCUGGUGGGCCGGCAUUGUGGCCUUAGACCCACCCUUAUUGGAAGGUAACUCACCUCAAAAGGCUGACUGCUGAAAAAUUGAUAUGCAAAUGUCUGACAGCUGCUCCGGUGAUCCCCCGGCUAUAUUCCCAUAAAACACUUAAUCAGACAUUGAUACUAAUCCCAUGGUAAAAUGACUAUUUUACCCUUGACCGAUUCCAAACCAAAGUCAAGUCAAAGUCAACUUCCAGUUGACCCGACUCGCCGAGUUGGCUUGCCAACUCGUCGAGUUCAUAUCCAGCCUAUUGACCUUACUCCCGUCUCUACUCGUCGAGUUAGGCAUUGACUCGACGAGUUCUCUUCCUAACUGAAUACACAAUGGUCCUUCAUCCAACUCGCCGAGUUGUAUGAACAACUCAUCGAGUUAAUCUUCAUCCGAUGAACACGUUCUUUCCUCGACUCGCCGAGUUGAUGAACAACUCACCAAGUUUUAUGAAGAUUGCCUUGGACCCGCUGAGUCAGAGCAUUGACUCGCCGAGUCCCUCCAUUGAUGAGUCUGGCUUCCGACUCACUGAGUCCACCUAUGGCUCACUGCUCUACUCACCUACUCGAAAAGGGGAAAAAUCGGGGACUCGCUACUCGACUCGCCGAGUUCGAAGAACAACUCGCCGAGUCGCAUCCAUGCAAUCUCUCUAUACUCGAUUCUGCUUGAAUCCAGUGCAUUCCAUUCAUAGAUCUGGGUUCCUAGGACUCGGUUAACACGUAAAGUUUCCAACUUUACGUGUAUAUAAUCAUCCAUGGGGAUUCUAAGGCUCAAAACACACAAAAAGGGGUAGAUCUAGGACUUUCAUGCAAUAUGGCCCCAUAAAGGUAUUAGACCUAGGCUUCUGGAACUCGAACAUAGCCAGAUCUAGCAGCUAUUCAGCCCAUUAUGAUCCUUAUACCACUGACCAGCUUGGAAAUGGGUCAAAGAUAGCUUAAUGGUGUUCUAAUGGGGAUUUGAGCAUAGAAACAAAAUAGAUCCGAAUUGUACCUCAAUGAACUCUGGAGUAAGUCCUAGAUUCUUGCUCUUCACCUUCUCUUUUGGUCUUUCCUUCCUUCUCUUCUUCAAACUCCAAGGAACAAGCACAAGAUUACUUCAAAUCACAAGGAGAGGGUUAGGGUUCGGUAUAUGAUGCUCUGAGGGUGAUGGAGUCUAACUUGGGGCGCAUAAAGGGGGUUUAAAUAGGGUGCAAACCCCUGAAAUUAGGGUUUCUUCCAGACUGAUGGACUCGCCGAGUCUCCAAAUUAAACGUGCUCAAAAUCCCUUCCCUACUCGGCGAGUCUAGCCUACGACUCGCCGAGUCUAAGGCUAAAAAAGGUAAAAUACUCAAAUAAAUCAUACAUACGAGGAACCAGGUACUACAAGUACACUGAUAAAUUUGGAUGAACCUAACAACUACAAGCAAACCAUGGCGGGCCCGGAGUCUGCAAAAUGGAAAGAGGCAAUAGACAACGAGAUUUAGUCCAUAUAUGACAAUCAAGUUUGCAACUUGGUUGGCAAUGUGACAGGUCGUAGGACAGUCGGCUACAAGUGGAUCUUCAAGAAGAAGAUCGACAUGGAUGGGAAAGUGCAUACAUUCAAGGCACGAUUGGUUACGAAGGGCUUUACUCAAACCACAGGGGUUGACUAUGAUGAGACCUUCUCACCAGUGCCCAAGAUUAAUUCUAAUAGGGUUAUGUUUUCCAUCGCUGCAUUUCAUGGUUAUGAAAUUUCACAGAUGGAUGUCAAAACUGUUUUCCUUAACGGGAAGUUGGCUAAAGAUGUUUACAUGUGUCAGCCAGAAGGUUUUAUGGAUGCCAAAUACCCCAAUAGAGUGUGCAAGAUUGAGAAAUCCAUUUAUGGAUUGAAACAAGCAUAUCGCAGAUGGAAUCUUAGUUUCGAUGAGAAAAUCAAAGAGUUUGGAUUUUUGAGAAGAAAAUAUAAGUCAUGUGUGUAUGUCAAUACUAGUGGGAGUAUAAUUAGCUUUCUAGUUUUGUAUGUUGAUGGCAUACUACUCAUAGGAAACGACAUCCCGACCUUGCAGGAGAUUAAGUCCUAGCUUGGGAAGUGUUUUGCUAUAAAAUAUCUAGGAGAAUAUGCUUAUUUGACAAGGUGUUGAAAUGUUUUAGCAUGGAGAAUUCCAAGAAAGGGGCACUGCCAAUCCAAACCAUUACCAAGCUGAGUAAGACUCAGAGUCCGAGUAUUGAUGCCAAGAUAGCGGAAAUGAGUUGAGUGCCAUAUGCUUCCGCCAUUGGCUUGAUCAUGCACGCUAUGAUGUACUCGCGCUGAUGUAGCUUUUGCAUUAAGCAUGGUUAGCCGAUAUCAAGGGAACCCGGGUAGAGCUCAUUGGACUGCAGUUAAGAACAUUCUUAAGUACCUGCGAAGGACUAAGAAUUGGGUCCUUACAAGUGGUGGGAGUGAUGACUUAAGAGUGACAGGGUACAAUGACUCCAGCUUUUAGACCGACAGAGAUAACUUCCGCUCUCAGUUGAGUACAAAAUGUGUUUGUGUAACUUGUCCUCAAGUUACAUNNNNNNNNNNNNNNNNNNNNNNNNNNNNNNNNNNNNNNNNNNNNNNNNNNNNNNNNNNNNNNNNNNNNNNNNNNNNNNNNNNNNNNNNNNNNNNNNNNNNGGUUGGAAGAAAUCUAUGGGAAGCCCAUAGAGAAUUCAUCCAAGGACUAUUCUAGAAGGUGUCCAUGGGCUGCUUAAGGCUUAAGCAGUUAAAUUAGGGUUUCACCUAAAACCCUACCAACCAUAAGUAUAAAUAGACCCCAUGGAUUAUAGAAUUCGGGCCCUAUGCUUUCUAAGAGAACCCUAGCCAAUUUCAAUAAGCCUCCAUCCUCUGUCUCUCUUGUUCAUCUAUUGCUUGUGGUGUUUGUGACUCCAUUAGAGGUGCAACAAUUGAGACACUAAGCUCUUGAAGGUCAAGAUCAACCAAUCAACAAGGAAAAGGUAUUCUUCUAACUUUGGUUUAGUUAUUGAUUUCGAAAAUAUGUAUGCUAGAUUAGGGUUUUUCUUUGGAAAAUUAUUAUUAUGCAUGUAUAACUUGAGAAAAAACUAGAUCUAAAGCAAUUAGGGUUUCAUGUGCACUGUAGGAAUGUUGUAAUGCUCAAAACCCAUCAGCAUAUACUAAGCAACUACAGUAAUGAUGUCAACUUCAUAUAAGGAAAACCCUAGGCUAUCAGGCAUCAUAUAGUCAGGCAAUUCUAUCAUGCAAUUUCUGAAGAUCCCUAGCUUAUCACUAACAUGAUGUUCUAACAUAUCAUAAUAUUAAAUAUCUGUAUGGUAUUUUGGGGUCUACUUGCUGGCUCUGAUUGAUCAUACACUUUGCAUCCUCUUUUAGUAUUUUGAAAACCAUUUUGAAAGUAUUUUACUUAGUUUGAGACUGGAUUUACACGAGUGCUCCUCCAAUUCACUCAAACCAAGGAUUUGAUACCAACUUGUAGCAUCCAUAAAAUUAAUGAAAAUUUAAAACUUUUUCAAGCAUCCAAAAACCAUUAUUUAUUACAAAAUGUUUUCAAAAGAGUUUCAUCUAAGAGUAUCUCAGAAAUCAAAAUCAUAAAAUGUGAGGAGGUGCACGAUCAAGCCUUCGCCUUCCCACGGUCAUCCGAAGUACUUGAAACAAAAUCCAAAAUCGUAAGCCCAAAGCUUAGUGAGUUCCCCCAAAAUACCAACGUCAUACAAACCAGAACAAUAUCAUAACAAACAACAUGCAUAUAGAGUCUAUAGUAUGACUGGACCGCCCUCGCCGGGCCUUCAGUCUGUCAGGCUCACUCUCAGAACCUUCAGCAUGUCUGGUUCGCGUUACCAGACCUUCAGCAUGUCUGGACUGUUCUUCGGGCCUUCAGCCUAACUGGUACGCCCCAUUGGGCCUUCAGUCUAUUCGGGUCGCCUUGGGUAUGUUAGCCUAGAGCACAAAGCAGGACCGCCUCAACCCACCCCCAAACACACAAUCAACACAUAGAUAUCAAAUGAUAGCUAGCAUGUAUAAACAGUCAAAUAGAUCUAACAUAUCACUAAUCAUAGCAUCAUCCUAUGUACCAGGAUAUCGACCUAACAGGUCACUAAACAUAGCAUCAUCCUAUAUACCAGGAUAUAGAUCUAGCAGAUCAUUAAGCAUAUCAUCAUGCGAUAACCAGGAUAACAAUCCAAAAGGCCAACAUUGGUGUCUUUGACGCUAUUAGUAUAGUGAGGAAAACUUACCUCACAAGUAGUGUUGAACCGAUAAAUUGAAUCCCAACUCACGGCUCCGAAAUCAACUACCUUUAAUCACCAUAUAACUGAUUCCAUUUGAAUCCCAAAUUACAAAAUAUCCUCAGAAGUCAAACUCGAUCUACCAUGGUCAAAGUCAGAGUCAACAGUCAAGGUCAACAAUCUAUGUUGACCCAACUUUUCGAGUUCAUCUACUGACUCGUCGAGUUCUUUCAGAACUCAGAAACCAUAAAAACUCGAGUCAACUCGCCGAGUUGCCAAACAACUCGUCGAGUCCAUGUAGUGUCCAGAAGAUUGGGAGAACCUUAACCAAGUCGUCGAGUUUUCUCACCAACUCACCGAGUUCACUCAGAAUCCUGAAAGCGGGAAAACCCUUAUCCAACUCGUAGUUGGCUAAGCAACUCGUCGAGUUCCUUUAUCCCUUUUCUCAUUUAGACGCUCUUAAGCGAAACCAGGGCUCCAGACUGUAGAUCUAUCCCCCUAAGGUGUAAUUACCACAUAAAGUUGCCAACUUUACAUGUAUGCAAGGCCUCAAGAGGCUAAAACACCCAAAACUAAGCUUUGGAAGAGGUUUAGGGCAUGGAGAAGAGCCAAGACUAGAUAAAGUCGACAACUUUAUGUCCAUGGGGCCUAGAGGAGUCAAGAUCUGAGACCAUGUCCUCAUGACAAGCUCAAGCCCGAGAGUGACUCCAUUUUGCACUAGAAAGGACCAUAUUCUUGCAUAAGGAAAGAUCUAAGAAAUGGAAAGCCAAGGUAAGGACUUUUUACCUCCAAAUGGUUGCUAACAUAGAGUAGAUGUCGGAUCUACUGCUUCUCCCUUUGCUCCAACCUCUUCAAGCUUCAAAACCCUUCCAAAAGAGCAUAAAAAUGAUUUUCUAAGCUCACACACACAAGGAAGUAGUAAAGCAUGGCUAGGGUUUCCUUCUCUGGGCAAUGAGGUGAUAAGGGAGGCCAAAGAAUGUGGGCUAAAUCCUUUAAAUAAGGUGCAAACCCUAAAAAUUAGGGUUUUUCCAUUCCUAAAAAUUAGGGUCCUCCAACUCGUCGUGUAGGUUCCAUAAACCACGCGACCUGAUUAGUUUCUACACAAUGAGUUGGGGCAUCCAACUCGUCAAGUAGGUCCUGAAUGAUGUAUAAAAAUUCUUGAAACUCAUAUCUGCAAGUCGGGAUGUUACACUAUUAGUCUUAAGUCGGUAGCUCAACGACACAAAUAUGGUCAUAAUGACCGAAAAUUAAAUGACAGGGUUUUCCCCAAAAUAAAAAUAUUGAAUUAUAAUGAAAUGAUAUUAUUGAAAGAAGAAAAAUAGCAUAUUAAAGAAAAUUUAAAAUGUGGCAGAGACCAAACUAAGCAAAAAGCCCAACAUACAGAUCGGAUUAGGCGAGAUUAUCAAACAUAGUGACAAUUAUGAUUCUUUGUCUUCAUCCUCCGACUUUAAGUUUGUGGCUAAAAAAUGAAACGAAGACAUGUAUAUUCAUGUCAGAGGCACCAAUUAUCCAUUUGAAAACGAAUUAUUAUUAUUUGGCUGCUAAACUAACCAAAUGAGUGACUACUAAGACGCCAAAUGGCGCAUGUUUCAAUGGAUGAGACCUUGUCUAUUUAGUGCGUUAAUUAUUUGUGAUAUCACAACUUUGGAUUAGAAAAUAGACACAAUCAAUUGGAAAAUAACCAACCAAAUGAUGUUAGGCAAAUUAUCAUUAAAUACAAAUAACACUACAACAAAUAUAAAAAGUAUGAGCGACACUAUAAUGGCAAACUAGAAAAGAACCCCAGCUCCGUCCCGGGUUAGAAAUUUUUAUUUUUUACUCUUUAUUUUUUGCAGGAUUGUAGUUUUACUUUUAUUUAUUUAUUAUUUUUUUUACAACUAAGAAAGAGAGAAUUAAAAAUGAAAGAUUGGUCGCUCACCUACAAAUUUCAAUUGCUAUUUCUGACCGGACUUCCCAACUUGGAAUACAAUAGGAUUAGAACCUUUCAACAUUAUUGUCAUUCAAAUAAUGAAGUAAUAAAAUUCAACACAAAUACCAAGUACGGGCAAAAAAAAUGGGGAAAAUGGUUUUUAAAAUGGUCUAGAAGAAUAUAAUGGUUUAAUCAAGUAGAAAGUAGUUAAUUCGCUAAAUCAAUUAAAUAGUGAAUGUAUAAAUACUUUUUUGUAUUUUUCCUUUUAGAAUUAGAAAAAUAUUAAAAAAGAAUUUUCACCUUGAAAGUAUAAAUAAACCAAGUUGUUGAAAGUUUGCGAAUUUUAUCAAUGCAUAUCAUAUUAGUGAUCUGGGGAAAAUAUUAGAGAAACAACGAUAAAAAUUAAUCUCAUUCAACAAAUUUAAAUUUAUAAACAAAUGACAAUAUUCAUAAAAUUGUAGUUUAAAUAAUCAUGAAUUUUCUUUAUGAAGAUUUUGUAGUAUAUUCUAAGGGGAAAAGGAAGUGAUAAGAAAAAAAUGUAAUAGUAAAUAGAAUGGAUAUGUUAAAAGGGCAAAACCGUUUUUUUUAAUAAAUAUGAAAACUAUAGGAUGCAGCAUGUUAGGAGUGGGGUCCUUGCACCCCACUUGGAAGUGGGCCCCACCAUUAUAUUACUAAAAAUAGCCUUUAAAAUCGACAAAACUUCAAAAAUGGUCUUUGUGGUUUUCGAAAAUAUCAAGUUUAAUCUCUAAGUUCAAAAAACCUCACAGAUGGUCCAUGUGGUUUCAAAACUUUUAACAUUUGGUCCUUCCGGCUAACUCCAUUACCACUUAGCCGUUAAGUAAAGGGUGUUUUUGUCAUUUCACUACCCAGGGACCAUUUAUGAGGUUUUGUAUUACUUUUUUUUUUAAUAAAUAAAUAAAUAAAAUUUAAUAUGUAAGGGUCCCACCUCUCUCUCUCUCUCUCUCUCUCUCUCUCUCUCUCUCUCUCUCUCUCUCUCUCCUGUAAGUUGUAUAAAAUUCUUUCUCGUCGCUGGCUCCCCUGUAAGUUGUAUAGAUUCCAUGUCUCAUUCAUCAUUUGAUUCCAUAUUUUCAUGAAUCAGAUUGAAUCUGAAUUUGUUUUGAAUCCGCUUUGUAUACCUUCGACUCCGCAGGGCGUGGGUAAAACCACUCUGAUCGCUAGGGUUUUGGAGAAUCUCAGAACUUCCUACCUCAAUUUGAAAAUACAAGGGUUUUUCACUCGUAAUGCCCUAUCAUUCCAUACUCUUCCAUCGCUCAAAUAUGUUUUGAUUUUCGCCUUCGUUUACUCAUGAAAUUUGGGAUACAAAACAGGUGAGAUCAGACAAGAAGGCGAGAGGGUAGGGUUUGAGGUGGUUACGUUAGAUGGUCGCACUGCUCCAUUUGCUUCUAUUAACAAUUCCUGGUAACCAUUUCUUUAUAUUUUUUCAUCAUUCAACGUCGAAUUAGGUUUUAAUUAAGUUUUCCAUGGCAUUGUAGAUUCCAUUAGAUGGCCUAUUGUGGGAAGAUACAGAGUCGAUGUAGCAUCAUUCGAAUCAUUAGCUUUGCCUGAGUUAUAGGUUCGUUUAGCUUCAUCUCUAAUUUCUCAGUAAGAAGUUGAUUUUCGAUUUCAUUUUCAGGACAAAGAAGAUACAAAUCUGUUUGUGAUUGAUGAAGUUGGAAAGAUGGAGCUCUUUAGUUCGUUGUUCUUCCCUGCAAUGUUACGUGUUCUUGAGUCAAGGAAGAUAAAUCUUCGGUGGUUGUUUCUUCCACCGGUGAAUCGGAGAGAGAGAUAGAGAGGGGUGGGACCAUUGCAUAUUAAUUUUUAUUUAUUUAUUUAUUUAUUUUAAAAAAAGUAAUACAAAACCUCAUAAAUGGUCCCUGGGUAGUGAAAUGACAAAAAUACCCUUACUUAAUGGCUAAAUAGUAACGAAGUUAGCUGGAAGGACCAAAUGUUAAAAGUUUUGAAACCACAGGGACCAUCUGUGAGGUUUUUUGAACUUAAAGAUUAAACUUGAUAUUUUCGAAAACCAUAGGGACCAUUUUUGAAGUUUCGUCUUAAAAAUCUUACUUUUGCUAAAACCCUCCUUUGCGACACCCAUUCUUGUAGAAAAAGCCCCAUCUUAACAUAUUUUUACUACAGAAACUUACAAAUUCAAAAAAAAAAUUAGAGGUUUAUUCCUAUAUAAGUUUUUUUAUGUAUAACGGACCCGCUUUACUUCAAGCAUGAAUCCGCCACUAAAUACGACAAAUGACAACAACACCAUUCUUGAGAAAAAGCACCUUCUUCUUCACUAGUUUCCUGGUUUUAGGAUCAACUUGAUGCAUCAACUCAAUAAUCUCACAUUCCUCAAAAACAUAGUGAAUAUGCAAUAUAGCUUUGUAUCUAGCAGUGAAAAUAGCCUAAAAAAAAUAAAAAUAAAAAUUCAUAAAAAAAUAAGUGAGGAAGAAUAAUAAUAAAUCCAAGGUGAAAGAUUUAUGUAAGUUAAUACAUUUCCAACAAUUCAAGAAUUUGCAACUGAGCGAUAAACUCGUGAACUACUGGUAUUGGUUUUGCUACAAAAGAAAAAAGAAAAAGGAAAACAUCAAACUCUAGAAAGAUAUCCAAUAUUGAAAACAUUAUUACAUUUCUUUAUUUUAUAAAUAUAUGUACAUAUUAAAGAUAAACUUAAUUAAAAGAAAACAUAGUACCAAUACUGGAAAGAACAAAGUCGGAUAGUAUGUCUUGUUCUUCAAUCCUAGAUACUCUGACACGUAUAUUCUCACCGGGCCUGCAUUUUGAAACCAAUUUAUGACAACAAUUAUAAAGACAUGUCAAAGCACAAUGAUAAUACUACAGAGAUGGUAGAAAUAAACAAUCAUAUUAGUUAAAACCCUCACAAUGUAAUUAAUUACUGAAAAACAAAUGACUAUGUAAGGGUAUACUUGGAAUUACUACGCAUUGGGUUUGAACUUCACAUGAACAUUGUUUUUCAGAUGUGGUAAACCGAUGUGGUAUAUACCCUCCAGAUGUAAGAAAUGCAACCCGUUGAUGGUAGAUUUAAACAUAUUAUUUUAUCAUCACAUGCUACAUCUGAUCAUGCCAUCAUCUAGAUUCUAAGAGAAGUAGAGAAGGACGUGCAAGUAAGUGCAAAAGACCAAAUUACCCUCAUGUUAUUAUCAUUACUGUUUUAAGUUAGAGGGCUAUUUAUGUCAUUUGACAUGUAAAUAAAAUAUUGUAUUCUUUUUGAAAAAAAAAACAUGUUGUAUUAAAAAAUGCAGUUAAUGAGGGAAAAGAAAAAUAGAUCAGAAAGGAUUCACAUACGUUGGUUUCAAAUCUUGGUUUGAAUUUUAGGUUUCUUAAGGUUUUAAAUAUGAGGUUUGAUUUCAGAUAUGUUUUUGAUGUUUGAUUUCAUAUGUGAUUUUAAUUUCAGCUUUGAGGUUUGAUUUCAUAUUUUUCAUAUAUUCAUUUUGGUUUUGGGUUUAAUGUUUAAUAUCAACUUUGAAUAUGACUUGGAGGCGAUGAGUGCUGGUGGUUGACGAUGGUGUCAAAUGAGAGUGAUGAUUUUAAUGUCGUGGCUGGAUCUGUCAACAUGAAACAUGUAUAUAGGAUUUGGGUUGAUCAAUUAUGGCACAUCAUUUUUUUUAAUUUAAAAAUAACAAAUAGUUAAUAGAANNNNNNNNNNAAAGGCAAAAUAGUCUUUUUAUAUCGUAUAGGAACAAAGACCCAACAAAACAAGGUUUGAGGACCUUCAGAAUUAGAAAAGCUCAAACCAAAGGAAACAUUAAUCAUGUAGUUUAUUCUAAAAAAAAAUUGUUCAAUUUCAAUGCAAUAUAGUAGAGAAAAUGGUUGAUGAUAUACCUUCCAAAGAAAAAUAUAAAGACUCUGCUGUUUUCCACCUAUUGUUCAGAACUAUGUGUACCUGACAAAUUCCACCUCAGCAUAUAUAAUUUCCAAAUCUCUCGUAUUUGGCGAAAUUUUUGUUAUAAAUAGGGUAGCCAGUAUCUACCUGCAAAUCACGUUCACCAUAAACAUCUUUUGAGUUUUGACUACCUUUCACAUGAUGGCUUCUCCGACAGUCUCAGACCUUGAAAACCCAAUCACCACCUCCGCCCUUCCCUACUCCUACGCCCCAUUGCCUGACGGCGAGCAACCCACCGGAAAUGAUCGCACCAUCCGCCCAUCCAGAAAGACAGCCCUCUUUCUUGUGUCUCUGUUCUUGGCCGUCGCUUUUCUAGUCGCAUUGUUCGCCGGAAACAGCCCAAUGCUUCCCAAAAACUUGAACACCAGUCCGGUGCCAUCCACGGCGGCGACUCCGGAAAAGGUAACACCUUUAUCUCGUGGGGUGGAGAAAGGUGUGUCGGAGAAAUCUUUUCAUCCAUUGUUGGGUGCAGAUAAUUCGUAUCCAUGGAGCAACAACAUGUUGGAUUGGCAAAGAACUGCCUUUCACUUCCAACCUAAGAAAAACUGGAUGAACGGUAAAUUAAUUCUUUCUUACAUUUACAUACACACACAAAAUUUGAGUUAAAUUUCACAUUAUGAAUGUGAUUAGAAACAUCAUUACUUAUAUUUUUCUUCUUUUGCUUCUUUUUUUUGGCAUCGCUGUGGUGAUCGCGAUUCUCUCUUCAGAUCCUAACGGUUAGUUCAAAACUCAUUCGGUUAAUAUAUUUUUAUAUUAUAACUUCGAAAUAAAUAAUAUAUAAUUAUGAGUUAAAGUGUUUAAUAAAACAGUGGUUUUAUCCUAAGGAUGGCCCACUCUCGUUUUCGUGAUUCAGUCAUACAAGAAAACAAAGUAUAAUUAAUAGUAUUCUUUAUUUAUCGAAUUAUUCUUAAAAAGCAUAUCCAUACUUUCAAACUUCAGAGUUACAACUGAAAAGGAAGAAACAGAACAUCCUUUUUAAGCACUUUUUUUAACAUUUUUUUAAAUAAAAAUAUACUUUAUAUAAAUAUUUUUUGAGUUCUACUCUUCUUUACAUGCACUUUUUUGACAUUUUUAUAUAAAUUAAAAUAUGUUUCAGGUCCAGUUUUUUACAAUGGAUGGUACCACCUGUUCUAUCAAUAUCAUCCCGAUGCUCCGGUGUGGGGCAAAAUCGUUUGGGGCCACGCUGUCUCCAAAGACUUAAUUAACUGGCGCCACCUCCCCAUCGCCAUGGAAACCGACCAGUGGUAUGACGAACAGGGUGUCUGGACUGGUUCCGCCACCAUCCUUUCCGAUGGUCAACUCGUCGUUCUCUACACCGGAUCCACCAACGAAUCCGUCCAGGUCCAAAACUUAGCUUAUCCAGCCGACCCAUCUGACCCCCUCCUCAUCAACUGGGUCAAAUACCCCGGAAACCCGGUUCUCGUCCCACCACCUGGUAUCGAUAAUAAAGAUUUCCGUGAUCCAACAACCGCAUGGAAGACCCCCGAGGGAAAGUGGCGAAUCACCAUCGGUUCUAAGAUCAACAAAACCGGUAUUUCGUUGGUUUACGACACAGAAGACUUCAGAACCUUUGAGCUUUUAGACGGGUUGCUCCAUGCUGUUCCGGGUACGGGUAUGUGGGAAUGUGUGGAUUUUUACCCGAUAUCAAAACAAGGCGAGAAUGGGCUUGACACAUCAGUAGAUGGGCCUGGGGUCAAACACAUAGUCAAAGCUAGCAUGGAUGAUGACCGAAAUGACUAUUAUGCCAUCGGUACUUAUGAUGCUUACAAGGGGAAAUGGACCCCAGAUAAUCCUACAUUAGAUGUGGGAAUCGGGUUGAGAUACGAUUACGGAAUCUAUUACGCCUCAAAAACAUUUUUCGACCAAAACAAGCAAAGAAGAGUUUUGUGGAGUUGGAUCAAAGAGACAGACACCGAAGCCUCCGACAUUAAGAAGGGUUGGGCUUCUGUCAUGAUAUAUCUCUAUCUUAAAAUGUUUCAAAUCCGACAAUUUUCACUAUAUAUUUAUUAUACUUGUACAUUUUUCACAGGGAGUUCCUAGAACAGUUGUGUUGGAUAAAAAAACUCAAAGCAAUAUAAUUCAGUGGCCCAUUGAAGAAAUUAACCGAUUGCGGAAAAACCUUACCGUUUUCAAGGAUGUCGUUUUAGAAGUCGGCUCGCUCGUGCCACUCAACCUGUCUUCUGCAUCUCAGGUACUUGAUAUAUUUUCCUUUUUGUGAUGUUAGUAGUAGAAUUUAUCUCCAAAAGAGUCAUAAAAAGAAAUGAAAUGAUAGACUACAACAUAUAUAAAAGUAAAAGCAAAUGAGACUAUUAUAAUUGUCAUUGUCAUUAAAAGUACUUUGUAUAUGAUUGGUUAUAAGAUUUGGAAUUAUUAUAAUUUACAGCUAGAUAUUGUUGCUGAGUUUGAAGUGGAUAAGAAGACAGUGGAGCGAUUAAACGGAGCCGAUGUUGCAUAUGAUUGCGCCAAAAAUGGUGGAGCAGCACAACGAGGUGCAUUGGGACCAUUCGGUUUUUCGGUCCUUGCACACGAAGGCCUGGCUGAACACACUCCUGUGUAUUUCUAUGUUGCCAAAGGAGUUGAUGGGAACCUUAAAACAUUCUUUUGUGCUGAUCAAUCGAGGUCAUCUAAUGCUAAUGAUGUCGAUAAGUCAAUUUAUGGGAGCAUUGUCCCAGUUCUCAAAGGUGAAAAGUUGUCUAUGAGAAUCUUGGUGGAUCAUUCGAUAGUUGAAAGUUUUGCACAAGAGGGAAGAUCAUGUAUCACUUCACGUGUUUAUCCAACAAAGGCUAUCAACAACAAUGCUCAAUUAUUCUUGUUUAACAACGCUACUGCAACUAAGGUUACUGUUUCAGUCAACGUAUGGCAAAUGAAUUCUGCUCAUGUCUAAUUAGAUGUUAAAUAUAUUAUUUGUUCUAUUAUUGUUUAAAAUUGAUCUAAGAGGGAAAAGAUAUCCCUAAAUUCUUUUGUAUGUAAUUAUCCUUCCGAUAUCUUAUUUUUGUACAUGAUAGUGAUGAAUUCAAAGAAAAGUUGUGUAUUCUUUAUACUUAUACAUUCUUUUAAUAGAAGGCUUAAUCACAAAAAUGGUCAAAAUGGUAUGCUAAAUCGGGAACAAGGAUAUCUUGAUUCGCAAAAUGGUUAGCUUGUCCUAUAUAAUCGAACUAGUUGUGAGAUCUGUAUGUUAUACGAGUUUAGUAAAACAAAAAAUAUAUAUGAAUGUUUAAACAAAAAUUUAUUUAAAUUUGAAAUUUUAGAUUUGAAAAUUAAAAUUUGAAUUUAAAAGGAAACAUAUUAAAUACAAUAUAUAAGUACUAAUAUUGUAAUUUAUUGACUAUUUUUAAUUAAGGCAAUUAGUAAUUGGUAUGUAAAUUUGAUUGUUAAUUAAAAAAGAUCAAAAAGAAGAAAAUGACAAAUGGAAAAAAAUUUAUUUAAAAAUACCAAAAACCUGACAUGUGUCCAAAUUAAUGUAAGAGUGAUAAGUGGAAAAAAAAACCUUCAUUUAUUAGAGAAGAUUUCUUUACGAAAUAGGAAACUAGCUAUCCUAUACAUUCCAAUUUCUUAGUUACCUUUUUGUGACAUGUAUCGUGAACUGAUGUUGAAACUUUCCAAUCCUCAGAUAUUUUAUAAACAAUUUUUUCUACUUUCUACAUCCAAACUAAAAAUCUCAUGAACUUCUCAAUAAAUGUAAAUAUUAAUUAAUUGUACAAAAUAUUAUGGAAUGAUUAUCUUGAUUUUCAUCCAUCAAAUAAUAAUAUAGAAUUAGGUGUGAGACCCAUUUAUUACAUGGGUUUAUUUAAAAAAAAUAAAAUAUAAAAUUUUAACAAUUUGAAAACUUUAAAUUUAUAAGAAAAAUAAGAAUUUUUUUGAAUUAUUAAAAUUAAUGAGACUUUAAUGCAUUAGAUACAUUACAUAUAUAAACAAUUUUCUAAUAAAUACCUUACAUAUAUAUUACCUUAUAUAUUAAAUGUGAAUUUUAAUUUAAUAAAAUCAAAAAUACAAUAAAAUGACAAGUGGAAAAUAGAAAAUUUUAAAAUUUCUAGAAAAUGUCAUGUGUCCAAAUGAAUGAGAAGAGGACAUGUGGCAAAGUCAUUUUCAUUUAUUAGGGUAGAUAGAAAGAAGUUGGGAAGGAGAUAAUGAAAGGCAGUGGGGUUUUGGCAUGGAAGAUGUCCAUGUGAGGAGAUGAGGAAGGAUAUUUCUAGGGAUUUAGCUCCAAUACCAUGUUAGUUUGAAUGAUUGCGUAUCUCAUUAAUUGCGUACGUACAUAACAUAAGUACACUCGAUACAAAGCCAAUGGGUCGAGAAUUAAAUUAGCCAUACAAGGCCAAUGGGUCGAGAAUUAAAUUGGGUGUUGCUAAUAAGACAUCUCAUUAACUAUUUUUUUAAAAGUCAACCAAUAAUUAACUGUUUAUAAUCAGCUUUUCCAGAAAACGAUGCAAUUUUAUCCAAUAAAAAUAUUUAAAAAAUUAAUUAGGUGUCCAUAUUACAAUAUGGAGUGUCUUUUUAGCCAACCCCAUUAAAUUAGGCUAGCGAAUGUCACAAUAAUAAGGUUAUAGGGUAUACUUAUCACCAAGUAAUUAGAAAAGUGAUAUCACAUAUACAUCACAUCAUUUUUUAUUUUAUUUUGACAUUUAGAUUAAAUAAAAAUAUAAUUAAUAAACAUAAAUAAAUAUUUCACAUUACUUAAAAAUACAUUAUAUAACUUCAAUUUUAAACCUAAAUUACUAAAAAAAAAACAUAAAGACAUAAAAAUUUAAACCUAAAUUACUAAAAAAAACAUAAAGUCAUAGAAAUUUAAACCUAUAUUACUUAAAAAACAAAGAAAAUUAAACAUAAAAAUUAAAAACCUUAAAACCUAAUUUGUAUAUUUUUAGCAGAUUUAUUGAAUUUUUAGAAAGGACGCUAGCUUUUCUAGGUCGAGAUCCGAUUGGGGCUUUGUGUUUAUAAUCUGAAGAUCGGUAAGUGUUAUAUUCCACCGACGAGCUUCCUUUGUUGCUUGAUUUUUUUUUUUCGAAAAAACUUAGAUUUUUGUCUAUUUUUUCCACAAGUACGUUUUUGCUACUCGCUUUUUCGCUUGAAGACGUCAUCUUUUUCCCUUUGUCCCUUUCCGGUGGUCGGCGAAGUUGGACUUCCGAUGGACCCUCCCCCUCGGUGUCGUCGAAGUCUUCAUUAAGGCGACGCCAAAACCCACAUUCAACUCGGAAGUUCUUGGCCUUUUGUUAGAGCCGGUGGUCGAUUCCGAAUGCAGAGUCUCCAGAUUAAGGACUCAUUUUGGAUCCUUACGACAAAUUUCACACGCUUUUGGUUGGCCAAAUGUUUUACCGCCGUUGGUAGCCUUGUAUUGUUAGCAUGCGGUUGAUAAAAUAUUGAAAUCGUUGCUACCACUUUUAUGCAUAAUUUUAUGAUUUUCAAAUAUGUCAUUAAACUUGGUGUCAUCCACUCGUAGUUCACGCCAUUUUCUAUUAACAUUGUUAUACGUUCGAUCCGUUUUCUUUCCCAAUAGCGAAUGAAAGAGGUCUAAAACACGAAACCAAAAACUAUUUUUUCGUUUGCGCGAUGCCCAUCAUCGAGUCACACGAUAUGAAAAUCCAAGCUUUAGAUAAAACUUCCUCCUCAUCUUCUUUCCAAGCUGUACCUCUUUUUUUUUGUAGCUUUUCCUUUUUGUUGCUUUCUUCUAGAUGGUUGUUGUGUUUCUUGGACCAUUUCGUCGUCGUUAUUGUAGAGGUUUAUAGGUUGAGAUUGAUAAAAUGAGAAAUGAGAGCCAAAAAAGUUUCGACUUUUUAACUUUUUGAAUAGAAAAGUCCAAAACUCGAGUAUUUUUCACUUUAGCAUUUUUGACUUGUUCAACAGAUUAUGAAACCAAAUCGUUAAUUUUUCCAAAAUAAUAAAAUUUUCUGUAAAUCAUUAAAACUUGUAUAUAUAAUAUAUAAACGACAAAAUUGCAAGAAUGGUCCAUGUGGUAUGUCAAAACUAACAUGUUUUUGUCCAAAAUGGGUUUGGUUCGCAAAGAUGGUCCAAAAGUUUGAUUUUCUUGCGAGUUUGGUCCAAAAAUUUCGAAACUUUUUAAAAUGACAGAUUUGCCCUUGGUAUUUCCCAUUUUUUAAUUUUUUUAUUACAUAAAUCAAAAAAGAAAAAGAAAAAAGAAAAUAGAUCUAUCUUUCUCUCUCUCUCUCUCUCUGUCUCACACACACAUACACACUCUCUCUCUCUCUCUCUCUCUCUCUCUCUCCGUAUUGGAACUGUCCACCACUUACUUCUUUAACCACCACCUACAGCUACCAUCACCACCCCUCGCCGCCACCACCACCACCACCAUCGGAUGCCACCACUAUAAAAGAAUGAAAAAUCAAAAAACGUUUUUGUUUGUUGUUUCAAAUUGUUGCAAAAGAAAAGUUGAUUCGAUCGAAAUCAUCAAAUAUUUAGCAUUCAUAACCAAAGUCUAAUUCAAAACUCAAAAAAACCUAUCUAUCUAUGAAUGUUCAGCAAUUUUAAGUACAUAAAACAUUCAAAACCAGAUGAAAGAACCUUGUAUUUUGGGGGUCUCCUUGUUUGGCUAAUCUGGUAACAAAAAAUAGAAAUAAAUUGAGACCCACUUGCAAAUCUAUCUUCAAAUAAAUCGAGUAAAUCGAGACCCACCAUUAUACAGAUUCAGACAACAAUUUCAUGGCCCAAAAUCGAUUCCAAUAGAUACAAGUAUGUAAAAUGGUCUCCGCGUUUCCCCUUCUCUCUCUUCUUUUGAAACCUACAAAUCGAUUGGAAUAAAAUUCUUAUAACAAUUUUCAUCCCCACCGCUGGAGCCAUAACAUCGCAACCAACCACCUCCUCUAACCUACGCAUCUAAGCCCCUGCUUCCGGUGACAUGAUCCAAAACAUCACCGGUUACCUACAUCUUCUUGAUGGUCGCCGACAGCUACUCUUCCACCACUGUUACCACUAGACAAACCCCACUGACAGUCGUAACUCAACCACUAGCAGCCGUCUAUGGCUAGCAACUGCCGACCCCAACAAAACACCUCCGAGAUGUCACUUCCCCCAUAAACCACCUCCAACGAAACAUCGUCGACAACGAUCGCAGCCUCCCCUGUUUUCUCGAUUCGUUGCCCUUAGUCAACCACAUCUUUUCGCAGGUCGAGGACCGCUUUUCCUUCUCCACAACAUCCCUCGACAACGAUCGCAGCCUCCCCUGUUUUCUCCAAGACUUCCCCUCAAGUUUUGGAAUUUAAAUAUUUUGAUUAAAAGUUUAAUUAUGUAACAUUUAAAUUCUAAAGCCUAGAUAUUUACAAGUUUAAAAUUCAACCCUUAUACUAUUAUGAUAUAAUUAGAAUANUAUAUAUAUAUAUAUAUAUGUGUGUGUGUGUGUGUGUAUGUAUGUAUAAGAUAAAGACAGUCUUACCGUUAGUAGGCCUGAUUCAUGAAGUCGAUCUAUAAGGGGGGUAUAAGGUUGCUACCUAUAAAAUGACAGUUUAAUGGGUGUCCACUCUCACCCACCGCUUCCUUGAUUGGUGGAGGGUCGUUAGCCGAACAGGUAGGACAUGACAACUAAUCUCAUUAAUAAGUAUAAUAAAUGUAUAAAGUAACUAAAUACUUUUAUAAAUUCCCAAUCUUAGUUACUUUAGUCAAAAUGUGAAAUGAUGCUAUUCCAUGAAAUUACACUUUGCACCUUGCCAAGUCGUUAGUGGAGUGUGUGUGGUUAACCGGCAAACUAAUUUGGGACUAGCAAAGGUGGCAAAAGGUAGAUUGAUGUUUAUCAUAGAUCAAUGGAGGGUAUGUGGUUAACCGGCACACUGAUUAGGUGAUUUGUAACAUCGAGAGUACCAAGUACAUUUGCAUGGUUAUUCACACCUUGUUUAUGAUCCUUGGUAUCUCAGUCACAAACUUGAAGGGCAUAUCGAGAUUUAAACAUGCCAUUGAAAAGUUCAAUGAAUCUCAAAAGAAUCUAGGAGUUUCAAUUCAUUUAAAACUUAAAAGUCUUUUUCAUUUUCAUGGUGGAAAUUAGUGAAUCGUCAUUCAAUUACCUUCAAAUUAUUUGCAAUUUAGAUUACGGAAUCCCUCUUCUAAAUUGUGAAUAAUUGUGUUGGGUCCUAGCCUUAAUUUCUCAUUUAGGUGUUUAAUUAGGGAUUCUUAUCUAAUCUAAACUUUGUUCCUUUUCUAUGUCAGAUGUCUACUUCAAACAACAACAACAACACUUCUGGCUCGAUCCCUUCCGGUUCAUUCUCACUCAUGAACUUGUGUGGGAGGGUGAUAUUUGAUAGGUCCAAUUUCAACGAUUGGAUCCACAACAUCCACAUGGUCACCCGCUGCGAGGACAAGGAGUAUGUUCUUGAUAAGGAGAUGAAAUAGGUUAAUGUCAACAUUGCUACUCCCGAAGAAAUCGCUGCUUACGAAGCUCACGAGCGAGAUGCUACGAAAGUUCAUUGCAUCAUGCUCGCAACAAUGAUUAUUGAACUCCAAAAGUCCUACGAGGACUACUACCCCUACUAGAUGUAUGAAGAUUUGAUGGAUAUGUACCAUCAAAGCGCGAGGCAGCAAAGGUACGAGAUCAUUGCUGCAAUGAUCAUUACUUAGAUGAAGGAUGGAGAGUCCAUCACCGCCCACCUGCAGAAAAUGCAGAGAUAUGUGGACCGCUUGUUGAUGUUAAAUGUUAACUUCGAUGACGAGCUGGCCAUUGAUAUCAUUCUACAUUCCUUACCUCCUUGUUACAACCAGUUUUGUAUGACCAACCAAAUGAACAAGGAAGAGGUCACUCUAAGCAAGCUUCAAGGCCUGCUAAGGACUGAUGAGAGUAGUCUGAAAGAGAAAUCCGUUGAAUCAACUCCUGCUACUAUCGCCCCUGUCUUGGCUAUUAGGAAAGGGAAGGGUAAGAAGAGGAAGGCUCCUUCUAAGAGCCACAAGGGAAAGUCCCACGAUGGUACCUCUUCUAGUGGAACCAAGGUUGGUCCCGCUGCUCCCUCCUCCAACCCGAAGGAUGCAGAGUGCUAUUACUACCACGAGAAAGGGCAUUGGAAAUGAACCUGCCCGAAGUACUUGCAAGAUAUCAAGGAUGGAAAGAUAAAGCCAUCCUCCACAGGUAUUUAUACUAUUCAUUCUAAUAACUCAUCACAUGUUAUGUCUGAUGGGUUUUGAGCAUUCUAACACUUCCUAAGUGUACAUGCAACCCUAAUAAACCUUGGAUCUAUGUUUGUCUAAUCCUAUCUAGCAUACAUGGGAACUUUAAUCCUAAAGGAUAGCUAGAAAUACAUGCCUUGUAGUUGAUUUUGAUUCCUUGAAACCUUGUGAGCCUAGCACCCCAAGUAUGAUGCCUCAAAUGCUUCACACAACACCAAAUGCUUUUGGAAUGACUUUAGAGAGAAUGCACACACUCUAAAAAUCGGCCUAGCCCUCUUGUUUCUUUGUGUAGCCGAUUUUGGUGGAUAGUAUGUUCCUUAUAUAGUGUUGACACAUCUAGGGUUACACCAUGUAAACCCUAAUGUGUCAUGACUCUUCAUUUCCAUGACCCAUGGGUUUGUAACUCCCAUGGAGCAUCCUAUGGGUUUAACCCAACUUGAUAAUCCAUGGAGCCUCUUAGCGCACUAUACAAGUUAUGGGUGAUUUACAUAAUCAACCCAUAUAUUUAAUUAGUUAUCUUUUGAUCACUUAAUUAAUUCCAAAUUAAUUCUUGAUCAAACUAAUUUAAAUAAUACUAUUAAUAUAUUAGAACUUAUAAUAUAUUAAUAAACCACAAGUGUUAUUUCUCUCAUUUAGUCUAUCCAAAUGCANAUGCAUGCAACCCAAAUGGACCAUGACGGGUUGGGUCAAGUACAUACCAGAAAUAGUUAUGGACUUAGACACCUCAACAGUCUCCCACUUGGAUAAGUCUAAUAACUAUAACUGCAAUACUUCAAGAACCGAUCGGCAAUCGUAGCUCUUUUAACGUCUCUUGGAACUGAGAAGAUGAUGAUACGUCAUUUAAGAUAAGUGAUCAUAUAAUCCUCUGUUCUAGAUGUCAGCCGGACAAAUACAUGGAACAAUGUCUUACUUAUUGUCCAACAGUUUGUUUCCCGAUUUCCAAUUUGUUUGACAAAGAACUUAAUUGAACACAUCAACUUAGUUCUUAUCGGGCCCGGUACAUAGGUCAAAUAAAAUCAUCGAGGGGCCCAGAUAUCAGCUUCUAAUCCAAGAAGGAACAGAUAAACUUCGACUCAUAUGUUUGCUCUACUACUUGUUGAAUCAUACACAAAGGAACGUUUUAUGAAAUCGAGUUACCAAUGCGUUUUCAUACAAGCAAUGCAUAACCAACUCAUAGGUAGCAAAUGAUAUCUCUAGGUUUGAAGAUUUAUAUGAUAUUACAAUCUCACGAUCACUCGAGAUAAAUUCCAUGAAGUGAUUCCAGUGAGCAUGGGUUGAGUCCAGUGCUCAGAACUUAUGAGCACUCAUGAUUGUUAUAGCCAUGUCCAACAACUUAGACCUCUGCAACCAAUCAUGACAGUCUUGAUUCAUACCUACUUCCGACAUAUGACCGAGUGUGUAGGUUUGAAUAAUAUGAUAUACCAAACAUAAUUAUUCUGGAAGUCAAAACAUGCAAAAGAAAUAUAGUAAACGAUCGACAAGAGAUAGCAACACUUUACUCAUAAAUAAAACACCUUUUAUUCAUCAUCUAAUGUCAAUUACACUUUACAAAUUUUAAGGUUAUCUAACUACUAAAUCUAAUAUCAUCCUUCAGCCCUAUGCUCCUAGCAUGCUGGAGAUGCUUAACCCUACUCAGUCCCUUCGUGAGGGGAUCUGCCGGGUUCUCAUCCGAUGAUACCCUCUUUGCCACGAGGAGUCCUUCUUCGAUCCGAUGUCUGAUGAAAUGGUAUUUUCUGUCGAUGUGUCUGGAUCUCCCGUGAUCCCUUGGUUCCUUGGCUAAGGCAACAGCACUUUCACUAUCACAGAAAAUUUCCAUUGGCUCCUUAAUAGCUGGUACAACUCCAAGGUCUCCAAUGAAGUUCUUCAGCCAUAUCGCCUCCUUUGCUGCCUCGCUAGCUGCUAUAUACUCUGAUUCGCAAGUUGAAUCAGCCACUGUCUCUUGCUUGGAACUCUUCCAAGAAAUUGCUCCUCCGUUUAAGGUAAAGACCCAGCCUGACUGAGAGCGGAAAUUAUCCCUAUCAGUCUGAAAGCUAGCAUCACUAUACCCUACAACUCUCAAGUCAUCACUCCCACCGAGGGUAAGGACCCAGUCCUUAGUCCUCCGUAGGUACUUGAGGAUAUUCUUUACCGCAAUCCAGUGUGCCUUGCCAGGGUUCCCCUGAUACCUGCUAACCAUGCUCAAGGCAAAGGCUACAUCAGGUCGAGUACACGUCAUAGCAUACAUGAUCGAUCCUAGAGCCGACGCAUAAGGUAUUCGACUCAUUUAUGCUAUCUCAGCCUCAGUACUAGGGCUUUGUGUCUUACUCAAUCUGGCGUUACUCUGGAUGGGUAACUCUCCUUUCUUGGAGUCCUGCAUGCCGAAUCUCUUCAGCACCUUAUCCAAGUAGGUACUCUGACUAAGUCUAAUUAGUCUUUUACUCCAGUCUCUCAAAAUCCUUAUCCCUAGAAUAUAGGCAGCUUCUCCUAGGUCCUUCAUAGAGAAACACUUCCCAAGCCAAGACUUAACUUCCUGUAUUGUUGGGAUAUCAUUUCCUAUGAGUAGUAUGUCAUCCACAUACAAUACCAAAAAUCUAACUAUACUCCCACUAGCCUUGACAUAUACACAAGAUUCAUCUUCACUCCUAGAAAAGCUAAAUUCUUUUACUUUCUCAUCAAAGCAAAGAUUCCAUCUGCGAGGUGCUUGCUUUAACCCAUAAAUGGAUUUCUCAAGCUUACACACUCUAUUAGGGUACUCUGUGUUGACAAAACCCUCUGGAUGACUCAUGUAAACAUCCUCAGCCAACUUUCCAUUAAGGAAAGCGGUUUUGACAUCCAUUUGCCAUAUUUCAUAGUCAUGAAAUGCGGCUAUGGCUAACAGAACCCUAGCACUUGUCACACUAUAAAAGGAACUCCCUAGAGAUAAAAUCGGGUGCCCAAUACAUUAUUGGAGAGUGUGAACCGAUUUGGUGCUAAGCAUGUUAUUCUCUCAAGCCUCCUUUCGCACUUGGUGUUUGUGACACAUUAGAGGCAUCAUAUUUGAGGUGCUAAAGCUUUUGAAGGCCAAGAAAUAGUAGUCCUACUAAGAGGUAAGUUAUCUAACUAGUUAUAUUAUUCAAUUGUCAAAUUGUAUGCUAGUUAGGAUGUAUGCUUUGGAAAAUCAAAUUGCAUGUAUAAUUAGAGAAAACAUAAAUCCAAAGAAUCUAGGGUUGCAAGUGCACCAUAAGGUUGUUAGAGUGCUCAAAACCCUUCAGCUGCAUCUUGCCUUGCGGCCUCUAAUGCUCGGCCUUGACCAUCCUGCAGGUCAAGCACCUCUUGACGUACCAUGAGAUCUCUCUCUUCAUGCAUGGCCACCAGUAGCUCAGUCUCAGAUCGCGGUACAUCUUGGUGGCCCCUGGGUGAAUAGAGAAGCGAGACAUAUGAGCCUCCUCCAGUACGAUAUGUCUGACCCCACCAUACAUCGGAACCCACACCUAACUGCAAUGGGUCAACAAUCCCCGACUAUCCUGUACGAAUCUGGUGAUCUCGCCCCUAAUCUUCUCCAGCUUCUAGUUCUUAUGUUAUACACCCUCGGCCCAAGCUUCUCUAAUCAAGCUCAUGAGUGGAGAAUCCAUAUAUAUCCUCAUACAUGUCGCUGGUACAGAAUAUCCAACCGACUUGCGGCUCAGGGCGUCUGCCACAACAUUCGCUUUACCCGGAUAGUAUAGGAUCUCGCAGUCAUAAUCCUUGACUACGUCCAACCACCUGCACUGCCUCAUGUUUAGGUUCAGUCGAUCCAUGAUGUGUCUCAAACUCUUGUGAUUUGUGUAUAUGGUACAGCGGACCCCGUAGAGGUAAUGCCUCCAGAUCUUGAGAGUGAACACCACCGCUCCCAACUCCAAAUCAUGUGUGGGAUAUCUCGACCCAUGCGGGAUUUAGCUGCUUUGAAGCAUAUGCUAUUACCUAUCCCCUCUGCAUGAGGAUUGGUCCCAAUCCGGUGAUCGAUGCAUCAUAGAACACCACAAAAUCCUCAACUCCCUCAAGGAGUGUCAAAACCGGCGCCUCGCCGAGUCGCUGUCUCAGAGUCUCGAAUGCAGUCUGCUGCUCAAGGCCCAACCGAAAAUCUACCCCUUCCUCUUCAGGCGAGUGAGGGGUACUGUAAUCUUGGAGAAAUAUUGUAUGAAUCUCCGGUAGUACCCUACCAAUCCCAAAAAGCUCCUGAUACCCGAGGGAGAUUUCGGAACCUCCCACUACAUAACCGCCUCGAUCGUGGCCGGAUUAACCAUAAUCCCCUCCUGGUUAACAAGAUGUCCAAGGAACUGAGCCUCUCGUAACCAAAACUCGCACUUCGAGAACUUGGUAUACAGCCGUUCUCAACUCAAAACUACUAAUAGUUCGCGGAGAUGCUUCGCAUGUUGCUCCCUGGUCUUGGAAUACACCAACAUGUCAUCUAUAAACACAAUGACCAAGCGAUCGAGCAUCGGUCUGCACACCCGAUUCAUCAGGUCCAUAAAUACUGUCGGCGCAUUAGUGAGCCCAAACGACAUCACCACAAACUCGUAAUGUCUAUAACAAGUCCGCAACGCAGUCUUCUCCAUGUCCUCCUCCCUAACCAUGACCUGAUGGUAUCCGGACCUCAGGUAGAUGCAAUUUGCAAGUGAUCGAAAAGAUCAUCCAUCCUCGGGAGUGGAUAAAGGUUCUUCACCGUUAACUUGUUCAACUCCCGGUAAUCAAUGCACAUACAGUGUGAACCAUUCUUCUUCCUGACGAAGAGAAUCGGCGCUCGCCAUGGUGAAUUGCUCGGACGGAUGAACUGCUUGCCCAACAGUUCCUGCAGCUGAGAUGACAUCUCCUGCAUCUCGGGUGGUGCCAAUCGAUACGGCGCCUUGGUGAUAGGGGCCGCACCUGGCACUAGGUCGAUCCUGAACUUGACCUGCCUCUCCGGAGGCACUCUGGGUAACUCCUUCGGAAACACAUCAAUGAACUCUCUGACAACUGGAACAUCCGAAACCGAAACUUGAUUCUUGACCCACGUAUCCACUACAUACGCCAUAUAACCCGCACAACCAUGCUGAAUAUACUGCCGAGCCCUGGCAGCUGAGCAAAACCCUGGACCCAAUUUGGUGCCCUCGCCGUAGAUAACCAGUUCUCCCCCACUUGGGGUUCGAACUACCACCCGAUGACCCUCACAGUCGAUCAUGUCCCCAAAACGACUUAGCCAGUCCAUACCCAGACUCACACAUACAUCCCCAAUGGGAAUCAGAAUCAAGUCUAUCGGGAAGGAUACCCCGAAGAUCUCUAGAACGCAACCCCGAUAGACUGAAGAAGCAGAAAUCCCAUGUUCGUUCGAUAGAGACUCACAACGGACACUCUAGCUCUCCUACAAGCAAACCGAACUCCCUACUGAACAAUCGGGAGACAAAUGACCGAAUCGCCCCAGAGUCAAAUAAUACUAAUGCAGGUAAGGAGUUCACUAAGAACAUACCUAACAUAGGUACAAACACAUAAGCAUAAAACAAAUAUGAUCAAUAAGAUAAAGGAUAGAAACAUACCAGCCACCGCAUCUGGUGCUGUCCUGGCCUCCUCGGCUGUAAGCAGGAAGGCGCGUCCCCGAGCCCUCAGGGGCUCUGCCCUACCCUGACCCUCAUCAAUAAUCCUCAGUGUAGCCGGAAUUGGAGCCUGCAACUGCCUGGCAGCUAGUAGGGGACACUGGGCCUUCAUAUGGCCCACCUGCUCACAAUGGUAACAAAGUCUGACCCCAGAAGCUGGAGUCUGCUACCUAUAAUCCCUAGUAAUGUGGCCCUACUUUCCAUACUUGUGGGGCACCCUGAAGAAGAUCGACAAACCCCAUCAUGCACCUUGUCGCACUUCCCACAUGUGCGACCCUUCUGAUUACCCUACCUAGAGUCAGCGGCCCUAAAUCGUUUCGGUGCAGGUUUGGACUGCACUGGGGCCUGUCUCUGCUCUCUCAACUCCAACUCAAUCUCAAGCUCACGCCACCUAGCAGCCUCUUUUAACUCCAGUAAAGUAUCACAACGCUGAGUAGCAACAAAAUGUCUGAUGUCAGUGUUGGGCAUGCUCAAAUAAUGAGUUAUCUAAGCCUGCUCAUACGCAAACUCCAGGCAAAACAUCGCCCUCUCAGUGAACAUGCGGGUGAUCUCCGUCACUGAAUCCAUACCCUGUCUCAUCUCCAAAGACUCCUAUACCAACCGCUCUCACUAAACCUGUGGAAUAUAGCGAGCGUAAAACAUCUCCCUGAACUGAUCCCAAGUAACCGCAACUCUCUGCUCAUCAUAAUAUGACCAUGUCAUCAAUCUCCACCAAUCCUUUGCUUCGGACCUCAGAAGGUUCAUAGCAUACCUGACCUUCUGGUCAGUAGGACAUGAGCAUGUGAAGAAGCAUCCCUCCACGUCAAAUAGCCACCUCAUGGAUAUGAACGGGUCUUGAACCUCAUUGAAGGUUGGGGGAUUCAUGUUAUUGAAGUCCCGGUACUGAAAAGCCCAACCUGUCCCCAUACCUGCAGCCACCAAGGCUGCGGAGGCUGCAACAUCAGUAGUCCCAGCAAUGGCUACUGCAUAUCUGUCAUCAAAAUACUCCAUCAUGGAGGUCUUAAUAGACCCAAACAUCUCCAGAAUCUGACCCCGGACAAUCUCGACCACCUCCUCUCAGAUGAUCUCCCUAACACGAUCCUCUGUCAAUGCUGACCUAUCCUGGCUGCCAGCUCCCAAGCCGGACCCGGUCUUAAACCACCUCGUAGUCACCAUUAUGAAAGUAUACCAGAAAGAUAUCAGAUACUCCAUAUAAUAAUGGGGAACCAACUCUCAACUAAACCCUAGGGGUUGUGACUUCCUUGCUACACGUAUGGGUCCUGUGCUUUUAGUAGUACGAGUCCAUACUACCUUCCACACAUACCCAUAUUUGUCUCAAGGAUCGUCACAAAACCAAAACAAUGUAAAUAAGAAGAGGCGAACGCUCAAUCCUCACUCCUAGAGGAAGGCUAAAUAUCUCACAACUGGCCGACUGACCCUACACAACUCAUCCAUGAAACUUCUACCAACCCUGCAACACUCGUGUAUGCUAGCCAUACAUAAUGCUGGAACCUAUUGACAUUCGAAUAUCUGAUCCUAUCCUAAGCCCUUUAUCAGACAAGAACAAGAAAUAAGGCCAAAACAAAUAUUCUCAGGCUAUAAGAUCUUAAUUAUGUACAACUAUGAUGCAUACACUAAGCAAGUACAGUAAUGAUGUCAAUUUCAUAUAAGAAAACCAUAGGCUAUCAGGCAUCAUAUAAUCAGGAAAUUCUAUCGUGCAAUUCCUGCAGAUCCCUAGCCUAUCUCUAGCAUGCUAUUCUAUCAUAUCACAAUAUCAAAUAACAGUAUGGUAUUUUGGGGUCUACUUAAUGGUUUCGUCUGAUUGUAGACUUUGCACCUCCUUUAGUAUUUCGAAAACCAUUUGAAAAUUUUUUCCUUAGUUUGAGACUGGAUUCACACGAGUGUUACUCCAAGUCGCUCAAACCAAGGCUAUGAUACCAACUUGUAGCAUCUAUAAAAUUCACAAAAAUUUAAAAAAAUUUCAAGCAUCCAAAAACCAUUACUUAUUACAAAAUGUUUUUAAAGUAGUUUCAUAUCAGAGUAUCCCAGAAAUCAAAGUCAUAAAAUUUGAGGAGGUGCACGAUCAAGCCUUCGCCUUCCCACGAUCAUCGGAAGUACUUGAAACAAAAUCCAAAUCUGUAAGCCCGAAGCUUAGUGAGUUCCUCCAAAAUACCCGCACAACAAAUAGCACACAUAUAAUAACAACAUACUAUGGGCCCAAUCAACCAUCAAGUUGGAAUGCCCCAUGCCCUCAACCAUUGGGUUGGAAUGCAAACAUACUAUAGGUCCAAUCAUCCUCGGGAUGGUAUACCCUCGGCUCACAACCAUCGCGUUGGAAUGCCUACAUACUAUGAGUCCAAUCAUCCUCAGGAUGGAACAUUCUCGACCCACAACUAUCGGGUUGGAAUGCCCCGGUCUGUUGGCUCUCGCACAAAGUAGAAAAGCCUUAACCACUAAUCAAUCAUGUGCACAUAUAUUAGAUAAUCACAUAACAAUCUACAGACAGUUAAAUUGAUCUAUAGAUCACUAAGCAUAACAACAUCCUAUCUACCAAGAUACCGAUCUAACCGAUCAUAACCACAUAUACACAUCCUAUCUACCAGGAUACCGAUCUAACAGAUCUCACUAAUAAUAAAGUAGGAUAACAAUCCAAAGGGCCUGCCUUGGAGUCUUAGACCCUUGAGUAUAGUGAGGAAAACUCACAAGUAGUGCUAUAUUGAUAAUAUCCAACUCCCAAUCACAGUUACGAACUCAACCGCCUGUAACCACCAUAUGAUUAAUUCCAUCAAAAUCCCAAAUUACCAAAAUACCUUCAGAAGUCAAACUUAGUCAGCCCUUGGUCAAAGUCAAAGUGAACGGUCAAGGUCAACUGUCCAUUUGACCCAACUCGUCGAGUGUAGCUUACUGACUCGUCGAGUUCCUUUAGAACUCAGAAAUUGUGAAACUUGAGUCAACUCGCCGAGUUGCUAAACAACUCAUCGUGUCCAUGUAGUGUCUCGAAGAUCGGGAAAACCUUAACCAACUCGUCGAGUUAUCUCACCAAAUCGUUGAGUUCACUCAGAAUCCCGAAAACGGGAAAACCCUUAUCCAACUCAUUGAGUUGGCUAAGAAACUCGUCAAGUUCCUUCAACAAUUUUCUCAUUCAGACGCUUUUAAGCGAAACCUAGGCUCCAGACUGUAGAUCUAGCCCCCUAGGGUGUAGUUACCACGUAAAGUUGCCAACUUUACAUGCAGGCAAGGCCUUAAGAGGCUAAAACACCCAAAACUAAACUUAGGAAGAGGUUUAGGGCAUGGAGAAGGGCCAAGACUAGAUAAAGUUGACAACUUUAUGUCCAUCGGGGCCUAGAGGAGUCCAUAUCUGAGACUAUGUCCUCAUGACAAGCUUAAACCCGAGAGUGACUCCAUUUUGCGCCAAAAAUGACCAUAUACUUUCAUAAGAGGAGAUCUAAGAAAUGGAAAGCCAUGGUAAAGACUUUUUACCUCCAAAUGGUUGCUAACAAAUUGUAGAUGUCGGAUCUACUGCUUCUCCCGUUGCUCUAACCUCUUCAAGCUCCAAGUUCCUUCACAACCACACCAAAAUCACUCUCCAAGGCUCUCACACACACUCAAGAAGGUAUAAGGCUCAAACUAAGGUUUCUAUGGACUGUAAAGUUGUAAGGGAGGCCAGUGAGGGGAAUUAAGGUCCUUUAAAUAGAGUGCAUACCCUAAAAAUUAGGGUUUUCAAGCACAACCUCAACUCGUCGAGUUGGGGUCCUCCAACUCGUCAAGUAGCUUCCAUAAACCACGCGGACUGAUUUGAUUCUACACGAUGAGUUGGGGCCUCCAACUUGUCGAUUAGGUCUUAAAUGAUGUAUAAGAAAUCUUGAAAUUCAUACCUGAAAAUUGGGAUGUUACACGGGGUGAAGAUAGAGUGUGAAUAAACUAUGAGAUGGGAUGAGAAUAAGUGAGAAUAGAAUAAGAGAGUAUGGAAAUAGGAUAAUAGAAGAUGAGAUUAAAGUUAUAGAAUAUGAGAAUAAAGAAAAGAAUGGUAAAGUAUGAGGGUUCAAUUUGUAGCUGUUGUAUGAGAGGAUAUAAAGGCACCAAGGACUUGGACUAGAAGUAGAUUUUAUUUUUGGUAUUACCUUGUUGCUUUAAAAUGUGGUUAUGAUUUAUUGUAAACCCGAUAAUAUCUUGGAUGAAAAAUGUUUUUGAGAUUUAGAAUUCCUCACUUUUUGUAGAAAAACUCUGAUAAAUCCCCAUAAUAUUUAUUGAGAAAAGUUGGUUGGUUACAUCAAAACACAUGAUCAAGGCAAUAGAAACAAAACACAAAUCUAUGUGUAGAUGCACCCUAUGAUCUAGGUUUUACUAGUUAAAGCAACCUACUUUCAAAACUAACCAAAAGAUGGAAUACUAACCUUUUUGUUGCUUUGAUUGCGAUAUCGUAAUUGCUAGCUCUUGUGACAGAUGAAGAACCCAAAGUAGAAUAUUCCUAUGAAUGUAGUCAGACCCACAAUUACACGAAGCAAAUAAGGAUUGAUCCUAGAUUAGGGUUUUGAGAAAAUUCAAUAACCUUAAUAGAUGGGUUAUAAUUUUCUCAAAGAGGAGAGAGGGAGAGAAUAUGAACAGUUUUGAGAAGGAAUCAACUUUCUGGGUUUGAUCCCUACUUGUCUAUUUAUAGACAACAAAUAAAUCUUUAAGGGAUUCAAACUCUUAGGAUAAUCCUUACUUUAUUUAAAAACAUGUCGUAUCCCUAUCCAAGGGAUAAUCAGAACUGUCUUAUGCAACUCUCUAAAAGCUUCUGAAAUAUUCUGAUUAAUCUUUAGGAACUAACUAAUAUUCAAGCCCUUUAAAUAAUUAAAAUGUGUAAUUAAUUCCAAAAUAAUUUUGAACUAAUUUAUUAAUUACUUAAUAAAGUAAUAAUUUAUUUUUCUCUAUCUCCUUCUAGUCACUUGUGCUAUGAGGCCAACCCAAAAGGACUUGUUAUUAUUAGAAAUAUUGUCAAACAGUUAAUGACAUCAAAUACUAGUUCUAACAGUAUGAAUUGAAAUCACAAUAACGUUGUAAUUAAACUGGAAAUCUUAGUCAGAAGAGAAAGGAGGGAGGAUGAUUACAAACUGUCGCCAUUGAUGGUCAAAUUCGUCGUCGGUAUAGUCGAAUCCGUUGUCAGUGUUUCCUGGUGGCGUGGUGGUGGAAUCGACGAGGAUUGAGCUUCAAUCAAUGGUUCGUUGGUCGAAAUCAUUGGAGCGAAAGAAGGGUUAGAGAUAGUUGUGUAAAAUGGAAAUGAUAUAGGAUAGGCAUGAUGUAGACAAUGGGUUUUAGUGGCGGCAGGAAAUAGCGACAAUAGAAGGAAUUAGUGGUGACUCGGUAAUUGGAGAGAAUACGUUUGCGGUCAAUUUUUUAGGGUAUUAGCGGCGACAAAAUCGCCGUCAUUGGUGUCGCCGCUAAUACCCACGUAUGAGGAUUAAAAACCAAACGUUGGAUUGAUGUAAGUAAUCAAUGGAUGGAGUGAACCGUGAAACCAUGACACAGAUCACACAUUAGUUAUUGGUGGUUUCACCAGGAAUGAUGACAUUUUAUGUAGCGUAUAUUAGGAGUUUCUUUUUUGGUAAAGAAGAUGAUGACCACACCAAGAUUCUUGAUUGGCUAAGAUUUUUUUUUUUUUUAUUUUUUUAUAUUUUUUUUUAUUUUUGAACUUCUUUUUUUGAAUUCAUGAAAUGUUUGAAACCUGAACCGUUAAAUUGGUUAUGCUCGUUCUUUAGAUUUUCGAACUAGGCACCAAAAAAUAUUUAUAUCAAACUUUCGAUUAAAGAUGACAGUCCCAACUUACAAAAUUAAGGAACACAAUUUCUUUGUAUGAGGAUUAAAAACCAAACGUUGGAUUGAUGUAAGUAAUCAAUGGAUGGAGUGAACCGUAAAACCAUCACACAGAUAACAAAUUAGUUAUUGGUGGUUUCGCCAGUAAUGGUGACAUUUUAUGUAGCGUAUAUUAGGAGCUUCUUUUUUGGUAAAGAAGAUGAUGACCACACCAAGAUUCUUGAUUGGCUAAGAUUUUUUUAUUUUAUUUUAUUUUUGAACUUCUUUUUUUGACUUCAUGAAAUGUUUGAAACUUGAACCGUUAAAUUGGUUAUGCUCGUUCUUUAGAUUUUCGAACUAGGCACCAAAAAAUAUUUAUAUCAAACUUUCGAUUAAAGAUGACAGUCCCAACUUACAAAAUUAAGGAACACAAUUUCUUUGUAUGGUUGACUUUUAUGUUCACCUUAUAAAUAGUAUAAUUGGGAUUAUUUGUUCAAUUUAGUGCUUGAAAUUAAUAGUCUUUUCUCAUUCUUUUGUAAAAAAAAGCAACAAAAAUUAGGGGUGACCAUAUUAACCGAAAAUCCGAACCAUAACCAAAUUAACCGGUUAUGGUAUAACCGAACCAUUACUGAAAGAUAUGAUAUGAUUUCUAAAUUUGAUUAACCGAAUAUAUGGUUCGGUUAUUGUUUUCAACUUUUCAUUAAAAACCGAACCAUUAUAAACUGAACCAAACCAAUAAUAUUAAUAUUGUUUUUAAUCUAAUAUAAUAUUAAAUAUAUGAUAUGUAAUUAUAUUGAGAAUUGAAAAUAUAAAAAGUAAUUAUUUUGAGUUAGAUAGGAUAGAUAAUAUUCUAUCAAUACAAUUAUAUAUACAUAAUCAUUCAUUUUUUAUAACGAUAGACUCUGUGUUGUUCAAUUUGUAUAGAAAAAUAUUUUUAUUUUUAUGUCAUCUUUGACCAUUUUAAUUAACUGAUACUAACUAUUAACCAUAACCAUUAACCGACUAAAACCAUUAACCAAACCAAUAUUAACCGCUAUCCAAUGAUUAUCAAAAUACAAUAACCAAUUGUAUUGGUUAUGGUUCGGUUUUGAGCAAUAACCGAACCAAACUGUCCAUACACAACCGUGAAACUACAAACAAGUUCAUAAUUGAAUACAAUUUCACAUUUUUAAAACGUGAUAUAUAAAAGUUCAUAGACUGUAGCUUCUCGUCCAUCAACACCUUUUUAAAAGUGAUAUACAUUUAAAACAUUCAAAAACCCUACUCACUUAUAGCAUUGCAAUUAAGAAAUAGCAAUGUAGACUCAUCUAUUUGUGUUAUAUAACAUACUACUUUCAGUUCUUUCUAUCAUAUGAGUCCAAUUACUCAAAAAAAACUUCCGCCGGAAAAGUCAUGCAAACAACACUACAAGAAAAGUCUAUUUUAGUGACGAACUAAAUUUUGGUCACUAAUAUCUCAUUUACUCACCAUAUAUUUAGUCGUCACUAAAUUUUGGUAAUACUACAAAUUUAAUGACCAUUAUUAUGAUGCUCGUCACUCACUCAUCACUAAAAUAUAGAAUAAAGUUUAAAUAAUUAUUUUCAUAUAUCAUAACAAGUAUUAGUGACUAAAAAUAAUGGUCGCUAUAUUGGAGACUUAGUGAUAAAAAAUAGUGGUCACUGGAUUUUAGUGUUAAUGAUGAAAACUAGUGGUAUUGGAGACUUAAUGACCAAAAAUAAUGGUCACUGAAUUAAAGACUUAGUGACCAAACAUAGUGGUCACUAGCUAUUUAUAUAUUUAUGAGUUGAAAAAGAUUAGUAACCAUAAUGGUAGUAAUUGAAUAUACCAUUGAAAAUUGCAAAAAAUUUAGGAUUGUAUAAUAAUGAUCAAAGAACAAAUUUCAUUAUAAAUUUAAAAACAAAAAUGAGAAUUAUAAACUCACAUUAUGUAAAUGACCAUGAGGAUAGUUUAUUUGAUUGAAGAGCAUUAAUGGUAAUUUCACAUUAAUGAUACAAUGUUAGAUAGUAUUGUGUCAUUACAUAGAUGUCCGAUUAUUUCAUAGUAGUGAUUUUUACCCAUUUGAUGUUAGGGUAAUUUCGUAAUUUGGUAUAAAGGACUUUGGAGUAAUAUCAAUCCUAAUAAGGGUCAUAGUGGAAAUCAUUAAAAGAUGAAAGGGUAAGAGCAUAAGUACUAUAAGUUGAGGGUUAAAUUCUAAUAAAAUAAAUGCAAGUUUAAGGAAAUGUGGUUAUCAUCAUCUCCAUUACGUAUUUACGCUACACAGACACUGCCUCGCUUUCCUCUGUUCACAAUCUGCAUCGACCACCGCCACCAUCAUUACCUCGCCUUCUGUCUUCCGUCGACACUGCUUCCCGGUGUUGCUAUCGCAUUGAAGAUCACCUCUUUAUCUGCUUCGCUCACUUCAGUACCGGUCUCCGUCGUUUGAAGCCCUAAUUUUCCCAAUUGAAGCUUCGAUUAGAUAAGCACUUCCCCAAAAUUUGCUGAAGGCGUGAUUAGGGCUAGAAAAAGCUCAACUGGAGCUUUAUUCCUUACAUUUGAAAUUGUGUUCAUCAUUACUAAAUGUUGAAGGUAAUGUUAUCCUUUCCUCAAUCUCUCUUCUCUCCUUACUCGUUGAUUUCUCAGGGACGACAUCCUCUACCUAUUUUUUUGGUUCUCGAGUCUGUUCUGAUUCCUGUUUAUAGUCAGACACUUACACAGGCACGUAUAAACACACAAUCGAAAACACAUAGAAAUACGCAAUCACUUAUGAACGGAGUCGGAUUUUCUUUAAUUUUGUUGUACGUUUCCGAUUGAGGGCUGUGGUGGUGGCAUUUUUUCCCCACUAUUUAGUUUUAAGGUUUUAUGAUCGUUUUGUUGUGUGUCUCUGAGGAAUGUUGGAAUUUUUUGUGAUUUUCUGUUAUUUAUCUUCUGAAUUCAAGAAAUUUUGUUGAUUUGAUAGAGUGGAGGCAUAGAUGUUUCUUAGAGGCUUUGUUUGAUUUUCCUUUUGCAAUGAAUUGAUCCAGGAUCAAUUACCUUAAGUAUAUGUGUUUGAUUGCUUGACCAGAGGAUUCCCUCUUUAGUUACACUUCAUUCCUGGAAUCCAAUUCCCGACCACAAAUGGCCUUACUAGCUACUUCAUUACUACACACAAUGCUAAUUAUAGUUUCAUAAUGUUUUUCAUCCUAUACAUUUUAAGUGUUUUUUAGUAACUAAAUGGCAUCAAUCAAAUCUAUACAAGUAUUUAGGACUUAACAGACCUAGAUGAAUAAAUGUUCACUUUUUAAGUUCUAUCUCUCUUGUGCAUGUGGGAAUACGAGGAUAUGCUUAUGAUUAACUCCUUUUAAGUAUAUUUCUCAUUGUGUUGUCAUAUAUAACAGGUUAAGAAUGAAUAUGGAGAUGCUUUAAUACAACUGUUCCUUGGGUGAUGCGCAAACAAAGUGAUGCACCUGAUCCAAUUAUAAGUAAAAUUACCUCAACUUAUAAUCAAGAAUCUGUAUCUAUGUCAAUUGUGAACACAUACAAACUGCUAAAUUGAAAGCUCUACAGUAGAUCAAGUUUUUGCCUGUUGGAUACUCAAUUAAAUGCCCUAUUUGUGUGUUGAAUCUUAUAUUAGUUUCAUUGUUUCUUCUUUAAUCGGUUCUAUAGCAUAGAAUGAAGUUUUUUUUAAUAGGUUUCUAACAUAAUGGCACGCCAAAUUGCAGAUAAAUUCAUCAUACAUUGCCUUACAUUGCCUGGAAUGAAAUCCAAGAACAAAUUAUCUUAUUGGAAUUGCAAAGAUUCAACUAAGCUAUUGUCUAUAAUCUCUGAACUUGCGUAUUUUACUAUUUUUACCCAUUAUAUGAACCUUUCUCAAAUUAUUACAUUGUUGAUAAUUGAAUAUUGCAAGAGUUUGUACAUGGCAUGGCAGAAAAAUGUGUUGGGGAUGUUGAUGAUGAAAGACUAAAAUUAGGGUUUCAACUUGUUACUUUUCAAUUUUAGAGUUGAUACUAUUUGUGGCCAUUAGAAUUUUAUAAAUCAUCUUUCCAGAAAAUCAUCUUCCGCCAAGGUUGUUCACUUAUUCACUAACCCAAAAAUAUGAAGAACUCUACCAAGAGAAUGGAGGUUCUCCCUCCUAUUCCCCACCAACACAUGCUUAAAUCUUUUGUUGACAUCAUGUUUCAUUUGUAGGGUGACUUUAUAAAAAUCUUGGAAUCUGGGCCUUAUGAAGGUGUCAUUGGUGUUAAACUUGAAAAUGGAUCUACCAUUGAAGCAAAUUUUCCCUUAAUCGGAGGAAAGGUAAAAAUGGGUGUGUUCCAUUUUCCCCUUAAGUGCAUUAAAGGUUCUGUAGGGGUAGUUUCCAGCACAUUAGUUGGAGUCACAUGUAUAUACCCUGUUUUAUACAAAAAAUGUGUUUUGAAGCUUAUAAAAUAUACUCUUGUGAAAAGUAAUUGCUAUGAUACAUUGAUACACAUUUGUUUUUUUUUUUUUUUUUCACAUUCAGGUUAAGUGAUGGGGGCUUCAUGGUGGGAUUAGAGAGGAUGAAAAUUAAAAGGAUAUGAUUGUAUGGCUACAUGUAAUAUGUGUAUGGUUUUUUCUUAAAUAAAUAUUAAACAAAAAGAUAUUAACAUUUCGCUAUUUUGUAGAUGUUUAAGCGUCAUGGAUGGUGUUAUGUUUGAGUUCCAUAGAGGGAUUAAAAGUUUCCAAACUGAGGAUGACCAAAAUAUUGGUGAUGAAGGAGAAAAGAUUUCACUGAUACUAGAAAAAGUUGCAUUUCCAGAAGUUAUAAUGGCUGAAAUGAUUUCAGCCAUUAUAUGUUAGUCACUAAUUAGUGACCAUUAUUUUUAUUUUUGUCACUAAUCAGUUUUUGUGACGGAUAGUGACGACCAAAUUUUUGGUCACUAAUUCAUCUAGUGACGACUCUUUCUAUUGUUGUUUUGCAGGCAUGUAUGCAGUAAGAGAUGCAAAAGUCAGUUAAAAAGGCUUAAGAAGAAGCUAGUCAGAGUUGUUGGUUUUACUAGUAAAAUAACUCACAUUCUUUUGUAACAACUAUUAUUUGUGUACAGUUUACAAAAUGAGUAAGGUAGUUAGAUAUGGAAUACUUACUGUUUUUGGAAAUUUGUUUUGGUGGUUGUUGUCUUAAUUUUGUUCUAAGGUGAAUAUAUGAUGUUUUUAGCCAUUUCAGCAUUGUAGAUUGUAGGUUUCUUUAAAGUUAAUCAAAUGGGUUAAAUAAUAGAAAUAGUAACAAAAAUCAGUAAUUUGGAUAAACCAGUGAUGACUUUUUGUGGUCACUAAUUGGAUAAACCAGUGACGACUAAUUAUAGUCACUAAUUGGAUAAGACAGUGACGACUUUUUAUGGUCACUCAUUGGAUAAAACAGUGACAACUUGUUAUGGUCACUAAUUGGAUAAAAUAGUGACGACUUUCCUUGAUUAGUGACAACAUUUAGUGGCGAAAUGGGUCGUCAUAGAUUUAGUGACCAGUAUAUGUUAGUCACUAAUUAGUGACCAUUAUUUUUAUUUUUGUCACUAAUCAGUUUUUGUGACGGACCUAUAGUGACGACCAAAUUUUUGGUCACUAAUUCAUUUAGUGACGACUCUUUCUAUUGUUAGUGACCAUUUCGUUUUCGUCACUAAUUGGCAUUUUUUUGUAGUGCAAACAGACGGAAUAUUCUUUCGCUAAUCCAAAAAUACAAGUUGAUGAAACGUUAUUAUGAUAUAACUUUAAAGAAAAAAAAUGCAAACACGCUACUGUUAUCGACAUCUUGCGAGAACCACGUCUACCCAAUAAAUUCCACCUCAGCAUUAAUAAAUUUCAAAUAUGCAUCUUCACUCCCUUAAAAUUUUCCUAUAAAUAUCGUAGUCAGCUUUUUUAUCCAAAUCACAUCCACCUCAGCAUCAAUAAAAUUUCACAUGAAGGCUUCUCUUUCUAAUCUUGAAAACCCAAUCACCUCCUCCGCCCUUCCUUACUCCUACGCCCCAUUGCCUGACGGUGAACAACCAGCCGGAAAUGACCCCACCAUCCGCUCAUACAUAAAGACAGCUCUCUUUCUGUUGUCUGUGUUCUUGGCCAUUAGCUUUCUAGUGUUCCUGUUCGCCGGAGAGGAGCCUGUACUUAACAAAAACUUGAACACAAGUCCGGUGCCUUCCACGGCGGCGACGCCGGAAAAAGUAACACCUUUGUCACGUGGGGUGGAGAAAGGUGUAUCGGAGAAAUCUUUCCAUCCAUUGUUGGGUGCAGACAAUUCGUAUCCAUGGAGCAACGACAUGUUGGAUUGGCAAAGAACUGCCUUUCACUUCCAACCUAAGAAAAACUGGAUGAACGGUAAAUUAAUUUUUUCUUAAUUACAUACACAAACAAAAUGUUUUAUUUUCAGAGUUUAAUAACACAUCACGAAUGUGGUUAGCAAUGAUUUAUAGUAAUUUUUUAGUAACUAAUAAUUACUUCAUUUGUUUUCUUUGGCAUUAAUAUUGUUCCUGAUGAUGGCGAUUCACUCUGCAGAUCCUAAUGGUAAAGUCCAACCAUUUUAUAUUUAUGCAUUAACUUGACUUCUCCUUCAUUUUUAUUAUUCUGUAACUUCAAGUGAAUGCACUCUUUUGACAAUUUUAUCGGAAAUAAUCUACUACAGCUCCGGUUUUUUACAAUGGAUGGUACCAUCUGUUCUAUCAAUACCACCCCGAAGCUCCGGUGUGGGGCAAAAUCGUUUGGGGCCACGCCGUUUCCAAGGACCUCAUCAACUGGCGCCACCUCCCCAUCGCCAUGGAAACCGAUCAGUGGUAUGACGAAGAGGGUGUCUGGACUGGUUCCGCCACCAUCCUUUCCGAUGGUCAACUCGUCGUACUUUACACCGGAUCCACCAACGAAUCCCUCCAGGUCCAGAACCUGGCGUAUCCGGCCGACCCAUCUGACCCGCUCUUAAUCAACUGGGUCAAAUACCCAGGAAACCCGGUUCUCGUCCCACCACCCGGUAUCGAUAAUGACGAUUUCCGCGACCCGACAACCGCAUGGAAGACUCCAGACGGAAAAUGGCGAUUCACAAUCGGUUCUAAAAUCAAUAAAACCGGUAUUUCGUUGGUUUACGACACGGAGGACUUCAAAACCUUUGAGCUUUUAGACGAGUUGCUCCAUGCUGUUCCGGGUACGGGUAUGUGGGAAUGCGUUGACUU
rnacentral:lncRNA from 1 species